rnacentral:lncRNA from 1 species
UCCAUCUUAAUGAUAUCAACCAAAUUAUCACAGGAUGAAAAGAAAUUAUCCUACACAGAUUUGUUAUAUAUCUCUUUCUAAUUCAAUGUUAGUGUCUAAAACUGCAUGUGGUACAGAUAAAAUGAAAUGACACAUGCCCAUUAAAAUCAUGACAGUGAAGCUUACAGAGGACAACAGGACCAAAUUAAAUUCCUUUUCUAGAAAUACAAAUAGAGCACAAGCACUUGCAAAUAGAGCACAAGCACUUGUACAACAAAAUCUAAAGCAAAUAAAACUGUGAAGAGAGAUAAUCGCGAAUUUUAUAGUAAUCUUCGCAAAGGGGACCUUCAAUAAUAAUUUGCUGAGUACCAGAACCAGCACCCUGUUUUAAAAUAUAUAUAUAUAUAUAUAUAUAUAUAUAAUGGAUCAGAAAUCUUUUUAGGAAAACUGGAUAUAAUCGCAGCUUAAUUUGCAAAAGUCGUUUUCCAGGAAAAUGUAAAAUUCACAGAUGUUCAGAAGAUUAACUACUUCUGAGUUGCAUCCCAACCUUCCGAACAGUUACGUAUUCACCGCAGACGCAAAGCCCCGCCAGCAAACUCCACCUACAAAAAUUAUCAUGUCAUGAAUACAUACUUCUAUUAAAGUAGAUAAUAUUUCGCGUAGCACUAUUUAUUGAGUCAAGUUCAGUUUCAAAAGACAUGGUAUCAGCACUUUCACCCAUGAGGAUUACAACCGUGUCAUCAGUAAUCUAACAAUACAUGAAUUGUACCAUGAUUUGAUACAAAACUGAACUCAAUAGAUAGUGAAUGCUAUCGUGUGUAUCUAUUUUGCACAUGAAUCUUCACUUGAAAAUCUCGUUUAUUCAUGAUCAAUCCGGAUUCACUAUGAUGAAGCAUAAUUCAUUCUAAUGAAUCAUAACCUAAACUGUUGUAGCCAACCUCUUGUUUGUAUACCAGACUCGAUUUUUUUCUCAUUUGAUCUAUAACUUGAAAUUAAUUAUUUUAUGGUUCAUAUAUAAUAUAAUCAGCCUAUAGUUUUGCUGUGUCCCUUGAUUAUCUUUCAAAUGUCAUUUUUAUUAGUGGUGGUGUCUUCCGUUCACAAAAAGAUUUGAUUCACAAACAAAAAAUAGUUCUUCCCAUUCAUAUAUUUAUAACCAUGACUACAACUACCAGCAUGUUAAUGUUAGGGAAUGAAGUAGAAAUCACUCCAUUUACCAAGAAAAAAUUGUGGACAAAAGCCCAGUGGAGUUAGUAUUGAGCCUAAAACUGAGAUUACCGAAGCCUUUGGUUGAGAGAAACUGCUUGAAAUCUGCCAUUUCAAAUCACCAACAAGAACAGAUUUAUGCGGACAAGGUGCGCGCAGAAAUGGGGAGAAGCGAAAGCAUAUCAUUCUCUGUCUUCCCUACUUCAGCAUCAACCCAAGCUAUUUCAUAUUCUCCCAGCUGCAGUUGAAUUUAUAUUUAUUAUUGUUCAACAUGAUAAAUUCCCUAUCUAACAUGAUAAAGUUUGGUUGUUAUUGUUAUUCAACAUUGUAAAUGGCAGACAGUUAUAUAACAUGAAAAAGUUCAUGCGUAUACUAUAUACCUUUUUGAAGAGUACAUUACUCAUUAACUUCUCAGAUAGUUGAACCUAUAAUCAGAAAAGCAAAGCAUAAUUAAUUUUGACAUAUCGGACAAUUUUUCAAUAAAUGAACAAAAUGAUGUCAUUGUACCUUAUAAGCACAUAAAUCAGAGGUUACAUCAAUAGUCUCUUCAAUUUGGGGGGCAUAAACAUGAGGACAUACAUUCUUCAGGCAGUGCUGCUUCAGAUGGUCUGUAGCUUCAGCAGAUCCAUGCACCAAAACCUUCGGGGGAAAAUAGUGAAAUUCAUCAUUAUGCAUGAUACUAAAAACAAAGAAAAUGAUACAAUGAAAAUAUCAUAAAUCGGUUUAGCAGGACAAAACACACGGAUUGUUCAGAAUGGAGCUGCCAAUACCAAAAAUGCUAUAUCCAGAUGGCUGCUAUAACGAAGAACAUGAAUACUUAUACUACACAAUUAUAUAUGAGAAAAUAAAUUUAAAUAAACUAUUCCUCAAAAUUAAAUACUAGAUAAUUAAUAGGAAUGUGACUAGAAAUGAAUAAAAGUUGAUAGAACUUAUAGAUAAGAAUAGAAAACAUUGCAUGUGUAAACAGAGAUUAAAGGCGAUGAGGGGGAAAAAGGCGCAAAUUAGAGAAAUACAAACAUUGAAGUGUGAAAAAAAAACACAGCUCAAAAAAGAUGCAAGCAGACAAACAAACAAAGACUUAUGUGCAUAGUUAUCAAUAGUGUGCAUGCAUAAUUGUCACAACUUAAGCUUUUGACAACACAUAAACCCAUAGUAAUCAAUAGCGAGAAUAUGAAUACAGCUCUGUACUUUAAGUAGGACCUUCAAUCUUGCAAAAAAAAUUCAUUACAGUGCCUUUAUAAAUCAUAACCCUAGUUAGCUAAAUUCCUAAGUACUUGCCCCUACUGAAAAGUGUAUCCAAGUGGUCAAAAUAUUCUUCUACUAAAAUAUUGCACUAGUGUUGUCAAAUAGCGGCUAUAUGGUAGUGGAAUUUUAACAAACUGCUAUUGUUCUGCGAUAUGCGAUUUAGUACAAAGUGUUGUCAAAAAUAGUGUUAUGGUACCACUGAAGAACCGUAGUUUAGAGGAGGAAUUUUUGAACAAACUACUAUUUUUCUCAAUUCGUGAUUAACAGCACUUUUUUGCAUAUUAAUUAAAAAUCAAAAUAAGUUAUUCUCAAUAUCAUAGGGUUUUUAAUGGUGGAAAAAUAUGGCAACCUAUGAGUUUUGCUCUAUUCCCCAAAUACAAGUACUUCAUAGAAAAUUUAUUAUGUAGUCGUGUUAAUUGAGUUGAUCCGUACCAGCUUAAGAGGAGCCACAUGGGAGAGAAUGUUCUUAAUUGAUCUUCCAUCUGAACGACCUUCAAAAUCCAUGUAAACCAGCAAACACCUGACUUGGACCUGGACAACAACAAAGUUAUUAUAUCUUAAGAACUGCAGUUGGGCCUAACUUAUAGAAGUAGAGUAAUCAUAUCUUAGAAAACACCAUCAUAAGUUGAUUUGGCACAUUUAAGAUUCAUAGAAGUAGAUUAAUAAAUACUUAAGUUAUUAUAUCUUAAGGGUGGUUAGGCCUAACUCAAUCUUACAAAACCGGCUAAUAAGUUGAGGAUUUCCCUCACUUUUAAACAUAUAUUGAGACUAUUGAAAAAAAUAGGUAAAAGCUGUUAUAUUUUAUUCGUCAGCCUUAGGCUGGUUUAUAUAGUGAAGAUACAAUUAUUACAAUUUAUUUUCUCCUUAAUGGAGAAUAAAGAAAAAUAAAGGUAGUAUUAAAAACAAUAAUAAAACCGGAAAUAAUAUAUUUUUCAACACUCCCCUCAAGUUGGUGCAUAGAUAUCUAUCAUGUCCAACUUGUCAAUCAAAUACCCAAAAGUAGGUAUUGUCAAACUUUUGGUCAGGAUAUCCGCAGUUUGUUGACUUGAAGUCACGAAGGGUAGACAUAUGAUUCCCGCAUCUAACUUCUCCUUUAUGAAGUGUCGAUCAAUCUCGAUAUGCUUGGUCUGUCAUGUUGAACUGGAUUCUGAGCUAUGCUAAUAGCAGCUUUACUGUCAAAGUACAAUUUCAAUGGAAGCUCAAUUUUCAUCUUAAGUUCUUCUAGGACUCUAAGGAUCCAUAAUCCUUCACAAAUACCUUGAGACAUAGCUCUAAAUGACUCACUACACUAACUGAGAAAGCAAUAUUAGGUCGGGUGUGUGACAAAUAAAUCAGUUUCCCAACCAAUCUCUGAUAUCUCCCAGUAUCAACAGAAACAUUACCUUCUCCCCAAAGUUUAGCAUUAGGAUCCAUAGGGGUAUCUGCAAGACGACAUCCACUCAUUUCUGUUUCUUUCAACAAGUCUAUAAUAUAAUGUUUUUCUGUUGUGAAACCACAAUACCAUUUUUUGACCGAGCAACCUCCAUACCUAAAAAAUAUCUCAUGAAUCCCAGAUCCUUGAUUUCAAAGUCUACUGCCAAUUUCUCUUUUACUCUUGUCAUUUCCACUGUAUCAUCUCCAGUAAGGACAAUAUCAUCAACAUAAACAAUCAGGACAGCAACUUUCCCAUCGUGGGAGAAUUUUGUGAACAAGGUGUGGUCAGCCUAUUCUUGGAUGUAACCUUGUUUCUUCAUGGACUGAGUGAAGUUUUCAAACCAAGCUAUAGGGGACUGCUUUAAUCCAUACAAAGACUUAUUUAGUUUGCACACAUUUGAUCCAAAUUUGUUUUCAAAGCAAGGAGGAAUGUCCAUAUAUAUUUCUUCUUCUAGAUCGCCAUUAAGAAAGGCAUUCUUAACAUCUAACUGAUACAAAGGUCAAUCCAUGUUAACAGUAAGAGACAAAAGAAUUCUGACAGUGUUCAAUUUUGCAACAGGAGCAAAUGUCUCUGAGUAAUCUAUACCAUAGGUCUGAGUAAAGCCUUUAGCCACCAAGCGAGCCUUUUUACCUUUCAAUUGACCCAUCUGAAUUAUACUUCACAGUAAACACCCAUUUGCAUCCAACUGUCUUCUUGCCAUCUGGUAGUGACGUAACACUCCAAGUUUUGUUCUUUUCUAGAGCUUUCAUUUCCUCAAGUACAACUUCCCUCCACUUUGGAAUUUCUAGAGCAACUUGUACACCUUUUGGAAUUUCUACACUAGACAAUUUUGAAGUGAAGGCAGACAUAGAUGAAGACAAAUUUGAAUAUGAUAUAAAAUUGGACAUUGGAUGUUUAGUGCAAGAUCUGACAGGUUUUCUAAUGGCAACAUGAUUAUCUAUAUCAGGAUACAAAAUACGACUCUCAGAAACAGAGAUAGACUUACCUUUUCUUUUGUUAGGAAAUUGAUCAUUCCCCAGUUCAGAUUCCUAGCAGUGUUGAGAUGUGGACUUGUCCUUUCCUUUAUGGUGCUUUUUCACAAAAACCUUUCCUUUCCAAGUCCGGUUUCCUAAUUCAAAUUUGUUUUGUUGAAGUGACUCAUUAUUUUGUGGCAUUUCAAUUAGAUCAUCAUUAUCAUCGUUUUCAAGAUUCUUAUUGUUUUCUACAAGAGAAAAUGUAGGCUCGGACUCACAAGGUUCCUUACUCAUGACAGGAGUAGGAUCAGAUAAAGAAUCGUGGUCAUUUUCUGUUGGUGCAGAUGUAAAAAACUCAGAAUUUUGUGAUAUUGGUAAAGAUAAGUUAUUUAAAAAACCCAUGUCCUCAAUUUGAAACGAGUCUUCGUUUAUCUCCCCCCCUUGAAGAUGAGUGUCAUCAAAAAAAUGUUUAUUUUCAAAGAAUGUAACAUCCAUAGUGACAAACAUUUUCUUAUUUUUUGGAUCAAAACAUUUAUAUCCUUUUUGGGUUUGGGAGUAUCCAACAAAGACACAUUUUAUAGCACGUGGCUCAAGUUUUCCAACAUUUUUAUGUUCAUGAACAAAGGUUGUGCAACCAAAGAUUUUUAAACUCAAAUCAGUUAAAACACGAGUACUAGGAAAACAUUCUUUGAAGGCGUUAAUAAAAGUUUGAAAUUUGAGAAUUUUUGAGGACAUUCUGUUAAUUAAAUACGCAGCUGUUAAAACAGCUUCGUCCCACAAAUAAUUUGGUACUUUAUUUGAAAAAAGUAGAGCUCUAGGAACCUCUAGUAAAUGUCUAUUUUUCCUUUCGGCCACUCCAUUUUGUUGAGGAGUAUUAGGACAUGAACUUUGAUGUACAAUCCCAUUUUUUAGAAAAAAAUCACCCAGGAUAGUGUUAAAAUAUUUCUUUGCCAUUAUCAAACUUCUAAAGAUUUGGAUAUUUGUUUGAAAUUGGUUCUGGGCACCAUUAAAACAAAAUUCUUUACAGCCUGACAAACAUCUAAUUUCCCCUUUAACAAGUACACCCAACAUACUCUUGUAUGGUCGUCUAUAAAUGUGAUAAACCAUUUUUUGAGAGAGAGUGUACUUGUACGGUUAGGGCCCCAAACAUCAUUGUGUAUAAUAGAAAAAGGUUUUGAUGGUUUAUAAGGUUGUAUUGAAAAUUAGGAACAAUGAUGCUUUGCAAAUUCACAUGCUUCACAUUUAAACGAAGAAAAGUUUUUAUUGUGAAAUAUCUUAGGAAACAAGUGUUUUAAGUAACGAAAACUAGGAUGACCUAAUCUUAAAUGUCAUACCGUAAUGUUGUCAUCUUUAUUAUUCAAAACAGAAAAAGACUCAGGACAGGAACUUGCCCGUUUUGAAGGUAGUUAUGAUGCAGAUCCAAUGUCAAGGUAGAAGAGCCCCCCACUCUCCUUAGCACUGCCAAUCAUCUUCCCUGAGUUCAAAUCCUAAAAGACACAGUGAGAUCGGAAAAAAUUAGUUUGACAAUUUAUAUCUUGGGCUAAUUUACUCAAGGAUAUUAAAUUACAAGAUAAAUUUGGAACAUGAAAGACAUUUUUAAGAGUUAACAUUUGAGACAACACAAUUGACCUUUUACCUGCAAUGGCUGAAAAAGAGCCAUCUGCCAUUUUUAUUUUUUGAUUACAUGCACAUGGACUAUAUGAAGAGAACAAAGUAGAUUCACCUGUCAUGUGAUCGGAGGUACCUGAAUCUACUAUCCAAGUAUGAUUGGGACUGACACUAAGAAAUGCAGAAUUACAUUUUGCUCCUAUAGAGCAAGAAGGGGUUGGAGACUCGAGGAGUUUAUACAGUCUGUCUAGUUGCUCCGUAGUGAGUGGAAACUGAGACUAAGGAGGUUGCUGCCCUUGAUCAGAAAUACUAGCCUAAAAUGCACGACCAUUUUUCUUCUUCCAGUUAGGAGGUUUGCCUUUGAGCUUCCAACAAGUUUCAUGUGUAUGUCAUUCGCGUUUGUAGUGAUCACACCAAAGAACUUUGUCUGAUCUUCUUCCCUCGUCAAGGUCCUAGUUCGUACGCCGUUUCCGAGACCGACGCCCGACUCAGGUUGCGGUUGUUCGUCAUGGUUGUAUCCAGUGUAGGCCUGUGAUGGGGAAGGCCACCUGUUGUUGUUAUUCCCCAUAGGAGGCUAAACGGGUAUGUGAAUCUGGUCGGGUAAGAAAGCGGAUCGAACAAAAAUAUAUUGAGGAAAGCUUUAUGGUAACCCCUAACCCAACAAAAAUAGGUUGAGGAAAGAUUUAUGGUAAUCCCUAACUCAGUGCUCUUAACUCAAUAACAAUAGGUUGAGGAAAGCUUUACAGUAACCCCUAAGUCAGUGCUCUUGAUACCAUAUUGAAAAAAAAUAGGUAAAAACUGGUUUAUAAUUAUUACAAUUGAUUUUCUCCUUAAUGGAGAAUAAAGAAAAAUAAAGGUAGUAUUAAAGGUAACAAUAAAACCGAAAAUAAUAUAUUUUCCAACAAUAUUUUUCUAGAUGUUUCUGGAUUUUUAUUCUUCGCCGCCGCGCUAUACACACAUUAGAUGACAGUAGAUUUCUUGAAGGUACUGACUUGUCUUUGGAUAAGUCAGGUUUAGACACUGAUUUUCUCAACGUGGAGUGACUAUGAUAUGAUUUGUAUCAUUUUGUUUUGGUGGAUUUAUGUUUUUUUCGUUGAUUGAAAAUAUUAAGUUUAAAUAAACAUAAAUUUUGCUUAUCAUUUAAAACUCUAUAAAUUUUGUGCUCAUAAAUUGCAUUAUUAUAUUAAUAUAUAAAAUAUAUAUAACCGUGACUGUGUCCUAUGUUUUUUACAUUGGUGGAGUCCUCGUGUCCCGUGUCCGAGUCCGGACUUCAUAGGUAACCAUUGUGUUUGAAAAGUCUUCACAUGAUAAAUAAAUUCAUCAUAUUCCAUCUAUUAAAAUGUGAUAACUCAGAACAGAAAAAUGAUAUAAACACUAAUGCAACAUGUAUCGGUGAAAUAGACAUUUAUAUUGAAAGUAGGAGGUCACGAGGUUUAUAUUUUUAAAAGGAAACUUACAUUGUUUGCUGUCUGAUCCAUGUCUUCCUCCUUAAUUACAUAAUCAUCUGGAUUUAUGACUUCACCAAAAUCAUCCCAUUCUGAUGCAACAGGGAAACAUUGGGGCAACACUGGUUGAAGGAGGGACAAAUCCAUCAAUAAAUACAUCUUUGUAUCCUCCAUUUUUUGCAACAGCCACUGCAGAUGUAAAUUAAACAACUUAAGGGAUUUAAAGAAACAGUGCAAAAUAAAUAAAUAAAAUCCAAAGCAUUUUCGGGAGAUGCAUUAUAUAUAAAACAUGAUUAUAAUAUACAAAUUGCAUUGUCCUAGAAUUAUGGUUACACAAUUUUACAAAUAUUCAUGAGCCAAAAUGACUGUUAAAACAAAAAAAUUAUUAUGAUAAGAGGAAACGCAUGCGGAUGAUUCUAAAUGCCUAAGUGAAUGCAUAGCAUCAAGGCCGGCCCAAUCAAUUCAGAGACCCUGUUCUAAUUUUAAAAAUGGGCCUAAAUAUAUAUUAUAUAAUAUAUAUUUUUAUAUUAUUUAUAUUAUAAUUUUAAAAGAAAGGAAAACGCAUGCGGAUGAUUUCUAAAUGCCUAAGUGAAUGCCAUAGCUCAGGCCGCCCAAUCAAUUCAGAGAGAGCCUGGUCUUUUAAUUUUAAAAUGCGCUAAAUUAUUAUAUAUAUAUAUAUAUUAUAUAUAUAUAUUAUAUAAUUAUAUUAUUAAUAUUUAUAUAUAUUAUAUAUAUAUAUAUAUAUUUAUAUAUAUAUAUAUAUAUUAUUUUAAUGAUUAAUGACAAACAAAGAUAAAUUAUAUAUUAACCAAAUGAGUAUAUAUGCAGUUACUAGUAUCCCAUUUCACCCUAAAAUUUUAUAUUUAUAUAUUAUAAUUUUUAAAGAAUACAAGUUACCCCUCGUUUCCACCCUAAAUCUAAAAUCUAAAUCUAAUUAAAUAUUGAUACAGGAACUAAAAUAGGAUUUCACCCUAAAAUUUAAAAUAAAUCUAAAUUACUAUUUUUUCUACCUUCAAAAUCAAAUAAUCACAAUAAAAAUAAAUGGAAAGUAACUAAUGAAUAAACUAACCUGAUAAAAGAGAGGAUUGAAAAGGAAAAAUCAGAUUUUUUUCUGGUUCCAAACAGCUUCUAACAGAGAAAGAGAGAAGAGAAUAACGUUUGAGAGGAGAGAGAAGUGAGAACGUGUGAGAAGGAGAAAAAAAACGUUUGGUUUCCAAAUAUCCUAUUUUUCAGCAUUUAAUAUUUUAUUUAUUAUAUGUGAUACAAAAAUAUUUUUAUUUAUUAAUUUUUUUAUAUUCACUAAUAAUAGUUAAUUUGAGCCCCACAAAAAGUGAGGCCCUGUGCUACUGCACAGCUUGCACAGGAAAAGAACUGCACAGCUUGCACAGGAAAAGAACCGGCCCUGCAUGAAAACAACACCAAAUUUGAUGCGAAUCUGGAUUACAAAAGCGGUAAAUCGGAGAAAAAUAUAUCAAUAAUGAAAAUAAAAGAGUGUAUUAUUUCUGAAAGUGAAACAUAACUUGAAAAGGAUGAACAUCCUAGUGCCCCCAGAGCCAAAUUCCUACACAGAACAAUAUUCAAAAGAGCCAAGCCCCACAUCCUAAUGUCCAUAUCUAACCCAAAUCAAGUUCCAAAGAUACUAUUCCUCUCUCCUCCGGUCACUAUAUAACUCUACCCGUGUGACUUCUCUCACACUCUCGGCCAUGUGGAUAGUCCCAGCAAAUGCACUCUGAUCUUUCCUAUACCUUCUAGUUCUAGCAUAAAUCUGAUGGAUACUGGACUAGGGGUUUGCUACUGUGCUAACAGCCCAUUGGCCCACAUUUCUCAUAUGGGAUUCGGAUUCCUGACAAAUAUUGUCAUAUCUUGUAGUUAAAGCAAAACAAGAAAAGGGAAACACUUCUGAAGAUUAGCUCCAAUAUACUUUAAUUUAUAUAAUUCAUACCUUCUGGCAAUGGUUGACUAUUGCCGGUAUCAAUGACCAUAGGGUCAGUAGUAGUAUUAUCAGCCCCUUGAGAGGCUUUCAACUCUUCCUCUUUUAUAAGACUAGCUUUUAAAGCUUCUUCUUUCUUUAUUCGGUUUUGCUCUCCCUCAUAUGCAAUUAGCUCUUCGCCAACCAAAGGAACCCGUUCAGACACAGUAACUUUGACAGCUUUUGGAGGUGGAUCAGCCUGAAGCAUCCGAGCUAGCGUGCCAAACUAUGCAUUGAAACAUUUAAGAAACAAUCUAUAACCAGACCUCGAAAUUCUUUCUCAUUUGUCCUAUAUGGUCUAAAAAAUAUUCAGAGAGAUAUAUUACUUUUACGUUCUCCGUGAUAAUUUUCAUAUUAAUAUAUAGAACUAUAGUUAUGCUGUGUCCCUUGGAAUUCACUUAUCAAAUCGUCAUUUUAUUUAGUGAGGUCUGUGUCUUCCGUCACAAAAGAUUUGGAUUAACAAAACCAAAAAUAGUUCUUCCCAUUCAUAUAUUUUAUAACCAUCGACUACAACUACCAGCAUGUUACGUAGGCCCGGAACAUUGAUGUAGAUAAUCACUCGGCAUUUACUAAAUAAAAAACAAUUUAAUUGGUCAGGAACAAAAGAACAGUGGACUUAGUAUUGAAGACCUAAAACUGAAGAAUUACCGAAGCCUUUGGUUUGACAGAAACUUGCUUGAAAUCUGCCAAUUUACAAAUCUCAACGUAAGAACAUUAUUUAAUGCGACAAGGCGCCGUCAGAUCAGAAUGGGAGGAACGAAAGCAUAAUCAUUCUCGCUGUCUUCCCUACGUUAGUCAUAAAAACUCAACCCUAUUUCAUGAUUCUCGCCAGCAUGAGUUGAAGUUAUUAUUACUAUGUCAAGCAUAGAAUUCCCUAGCUAACCGAUACCGUAUGGUUGUUAUAUGGUUAUUCAACAUUGUCUAAAUGUGCAGACAGUUAUAUAUACAUGAAAUAAGUUCAUGCGUAUACUAUACUACCUUUUGAAGAGUACAUUCUCAUUAACUUUCUCACGAUAGUUGACAUAAACUCAGUAAAAGCAAAGCAUAUAUAAUUUUGACAUAACUCGGCCAAUUUCUCAAUAAUGAACAAAGAUGUCAUAUGUCACCCUUAUAAGCACAAUAACUCAGCAGGUUUAACGAGUCCACUAGUCCUCAUUCAAUUUGGGGGGCAUAAACGAUGAGACAUACAUUCUCAGGCAUGCUGCUUCAAGAUGGUCUUGUAAGCUUCAGCAGACUCCAUGCACCAAACCUUCGGGGGAAAAAUAGUGGAAUUCCAUCAUCUAAGGUGCAUAACUACUACAAACAAAGAAAAUGAUACACAUGAACAUAUACAUAAAUCGGUUUUAGCAGGACAAAUACACAAGACGAUUGUUCAGAUAUGGAGCUGCCAAACCAAAAUCUAUAUUCCAGAUGGCUGCUAUAUACGAAGACCAUGAAUACUAUACUAACACUUCAUAUAUGAGCAAAUAAAUUUAAAUAAAACUAUUUCCUCAAAGUAAAUACUAGGAUAAUUAAUAGGAAUGUGGACUAGAAAUGAUAUACAAGUCUGAUAGAACUUAUAGAUAGAGACAUAGAAAACAUGCAUGUGUAAACAGAGAUUAAAGUCGAUGAGGGGGAAAAAAGGCGCAAUUAGAGAAAUACAAACAUUAAUGUGUGAAAAGCAAAACACAGCUCAAAAUAGAGGAUGCAGAGCAGAACAAACAAACAAAUGACUUAUGUGCCGUAGUUAUCAUAGUGGUGCAUGCAUAAUUGUCACAACUUAAGCCCUUUUGACAACACAUAAGACCCAUAGUAAGAUGCAAUAGCGAGCAUCUGAAUACAGCUUGCGGUACUUUAAAGUGUGAUCCUCAAUCUUGCAAAAUAAAAUUUCAUUACAGUGCCCUUUAUCAAAUCAAACCUCAGUUAGCUAAAUGUCCUAAGUCACGUUGCCCCUACUGAAUAAGUGUAUCCAAGUGUGUCAAAAUAUCUUCUACUGAAAUAUUGCAUCUAGUGGUUGUAAAUAGCGCUAUAUGGUAGUGGAAUUUUAAGGCAAACUGCUAAUUGUUCUGCGAUAUGCGAUUUUAGUAACAAAGUGUUGUCCCAAAAUAGAGUGUUAUCGGGUAUCCUCUGAAGAAGCCGUCAGUCUUAGAGGCAGUGAAUUUUUGAACGCAAUACUUCUUUUUCUCAAUUCUUGAUUUACAGCCUUUUUUUGCAUAUUAAUUAAAGAAUCAAAAUAUACAGUUAUUCCACUAAUCAUAGGGUUUUUUAAUGGUGGAAAUACUGCAACACUAUGCAGUGUUUGCUCUAUUCCCCAAAUACAAGUACUUCACUUAGAAAAGUUAUUGAUGUAGUCGCUGUAAAUUGAGUUGAUCGCGGUACCAGCUUAAGAGGAGCCACAUGGGAGACGAAUGUUCUUAAUUUGAUCUUCAUCUGACGACCUUAACAAAAUCCACUGUCAAGCCAGCAAUACACCCUGAACCUUGGAAGCUGGACAACAACUAAGUUAUUAAAAUAUCCUUCAAGAAACUGCAGUUGGGCCUAACUUAAGAAGUAGAAGUAAUCAUUUAUGGUUCUUAGCAACACACCAUCAUAAGUUGGGGGAUUUGGCACAUUUAAGUAUUCAUAGAAGUAGAUUAUUUAAAUACUUAAAGUUAUUAUAGUCUAAGGGUGGUUAGGCCUAAUCUGCAAUCUUACAAAAACCGGCUAAUAAGUUAGGAUUUCCCUCACUUUUUAACAUAUAUUGUAGACUAUUUGAAAAAUAGGUAAAGAGCGUUAGAGUUGAUUUCGUCAGCCUUAGGCUGGUUGUAAUAAUUAGUGAGCGAUAAAUUAGUUGACAAUUUAUUUUUCUCCUUAAUGAGAUAAUAAAGAAAAAAUAAAGGUAGUAUUCGAAAACACUAAUAAAUACCGGCCAAAUAAUAUAUUUUUUUCCAACACUCCCCUCGGAAGGUUGGUGCAUAGAUUAGUCUAGUCAGUCCAACUUGUCAAUACAAGAUACCCAAAAGUAGCGGUUAUUGUCAAAGCUUUUGGUGCAGGAACUAUCCGCCAAAAGUUGUUUUUUGUUUGGGGGGUUUGAUGGAAAAAAAAGGUUCUUCCCCCCACGAAGGGGAUAUGUACAAUAUAUCCUCCCGGCAUCUAACUUCUCCUUGUAUGAAGUGUCGGAUCAAGCUCUCGAUAAGGUGCUUGGUGCUGUCAUGUUUGAAUUCUGGAUUCCUGGCUAUGCCUAAUAGCAGCUUACUGUCAAAGUACAAUUGCAAUGGAUAGCUCAAUUUUCCAUCUUAAGUUCUUCUAGGAUCUAAAGGACCAUAACCUUCACAACUACUUGAGACAAUAGCUCUACAACUCGGCCUCUGCAUCUCUCCGUUGCUACACUCCUUGUUUCUUGCUCCUGCCAUGUCAAAGAUUGUAAAGCCCCAAACUAAUAGGUACAAUGUAUCCAGGAAGGUUGGAUCUUCUAUCUGUGACUUGAACCUGCCAAGUCGCAUCCGGUGAAAGAUGAGACACAUUUUUUUCACUAGUUCUUUUUUAAAAAGAUAUCCUUUUCCAGGAUUUUUCUUCAACAUAUCUCAGUAUCUCUACUAGACUACCUCAAGAUGUUCCUUCGAAAGGAGAAUGCAGAAAAUUGACGAUCACUACAAUCUAACUGAAGAAAUGCAAUAUAGGCUCGGGUGUGUGAGAAAUAAAUGCAGCUUUCGUCCCAAUUUCGUGAUAUCUCCCAGUAUCAACUAGUAAACAGUUACCUUCUCACCCAAAGUCUUUAGCAUUAGGAUCAUAGGGGUUAAUUGCUUGCAAUGACGACCAUCACCUCAAUUUCUGUUUCUUUCAACACGGAAGUCUAUAAUAUAAUGUUUUUUUCUGUUUGAACACACGAAUACAUGUUUUGCACCGGCGCAGCCUCCAUAACGUAAAAAAAUUAUCUGCAAUGAAAAUUCGCCAGAUCCUUGAUUUCAACGUCACUGCCGAAUUUCCUCUUUUACUCUUGUCAUUCUCAACUGUAUUCAUCUCCCAGUUAAAGGACAAUAUCAUGUCAACAUAAAAUCAAUGCAGGACAGCUAACUUUCCCACGUGGGAAGAAUUUUUGUGAACACAAGGUGUGGUCAGCCUAUUCUGCGAUGUAAACCUUGUUCUUCAAUGGACUGAGUGACAGUUUUCAAAACCCAAGUUAUUAGGGACUGGCUUUAUCCAUAACAAAAGUACUUAUUUUAUGUUGCACACAUUUGAUCCAAAUUUGUUUUCAAGCAAGGAGGAAUUGUCCAUAUAUAUCCUUCGUUUCUAGAUCGCCAUUAAGAAAGGCAAUUCUUAAUACAUCUAACUGAUACAAAGGUCAAUCCAUGUUAACAGUAAGAGACAAAAGAAUUCUGCAGUGGUUGUCAAUUUUGCAAGCAGGUAGCAAAUGUCUCUGAGUAAUUAUAGACCAUAGGUCUGAGUAAGCCUUUAGCCCAACCAAGCGAGCGCUUUUUUACCUUUCAAUUCGACCCGCUGAAUUCUACUUCACAGUAAAACACCCAUAUGCCAUCCAACUGUCAUUUUGCCAUCUCGUAGUUGACGUAACACUCCAGCAAAUUUGUUCUUUCUAGAGCUUUCAUUUCCUCAGAGUACAACUUCCCUCCACUUUGAAUUUCUAGACAGACUUUUACAACCUUUUGGGAAUUUCUACACCUAGACAAUUUGAAGUGAAAGGCAGCAUAGCUGAAGACAAAUGUUGAAUAUGAUUGAUAAAACUGGACAUUGGAUGUUCAGUGCCAAGAUGCGACGGUUCUUCUCAUGGCAACAUGAUUAUCUAUAAUCAGCGAUACAAUACACUCUUCAGAAACAGAGAUAGACUUACUUUUCCUUUUGUUAGGCAAUUGAUCUAUAUCCCCAGUUCAGAUUCUAGCCGUUGUUGAAUGCUGGACUUGGUCCUUUCCUUUAUGGUGCUUUUUCACAAAAAACCUUUUCCUUCAAGUCCGGUUCUACAUGUCAAAUUGGUUUGUUGAAGUGAACUCAUUAUUUUGUGGCAUUUCAAUUAGAUCAUCAGACGACCAGCGUGUUUCCAGAUUCUUAUUGUUUUUCUACAAGAGAAAAUGUAGGCUCUGGACCUCACACGGUCCUUAACUCAAUUGACAGAGUAAGGAUCAAGAUAUAAGAAUCGUGGUCAUUUUCUGUUGGGUCGCAGAUGUAAAAAACUCAGAAUUUUGUGAUAUUGGUAAAUGAUAAAAGCCUUAUUUAAAAAACCAUGUCCUCAAUUCUGAAACGAGUCUUCGUUAUCUCCCCCUAUGAAGAUGAGUGUGCAUCAAAAAAAAGUUUAUUCAAAGAAUGUAACAUCCAUAAGUGACAAACCAUUUUCUUAUUUUUUGGAAGUCAAAACAUUUAUAUUCCUUUUUGGCGUUGGGAGUACUCCAACAAAGACACAUUUUAUAGCACGUGUGGCUCAAGUUUUCCCAAAUUUUCUGUUCAAUGAACAAAGGUUGUGCAACCAAAGAUUUUUUUAAAACUCAAAUCAGUUUAAAACACGAAGUUACUGAAGGAAAACAUCUCUUUGAAGGCGUUAAUAAAAGUUUGAAAUUUGCGAAUUGUUGAGGACAUCUGUUAAUUAAAUACGCAGCUGUUAAAACAGCGUUCGUGCCACAAACUAGAUUUGUACUUUUAUUUGAAAAAAGUAGACUGCUCCGUAGGAACUCUAGUAAAUGUCUAUUUUUCUUUUCGCCACUCCAUUUGUUGAUGAGUAUUAGGACACUGGAACUUUGAUGUACACUCCCAUUUUUUAGAAAAAAAUCACCCAGGAUAGUGUUAAAAUAUUCUUUGGCCAUCUAUCACUCUAAAGAUUUGGAUAUUUGUUUGAAAUUGGUUUGCAACCAGUAAAACAAAUUCCUUCUACAGCCUGACAAAACAUCUAAAUUUCCCCUUUAACAAGUACACCGCAACAUACUCUUGUAUGGUCGUGCUAUACAUGUGAAUAGACCAUUUUUUGAGAGAGAGUGUACUUGUACGGUUAGGGCCCAAACAUCCAUUGUGUAUAAUAACAGGUUUUGAUGGUUUAUAAGGUUGAUAUGGCAAAUUAGGAACCAAUGAGCUUUGCAAAUUCACAUGCUUUCCAUUUAACAAGAAAAGUUUUAUGUGAAAUAUCUUAGAAACAAGUCGGUUUUAAGUAAACGAAAACUAGAAAGACCUAAUCUUAAAUUCCAUACGUAAUUUGUCAUCUUUAUUACUUCAAACAGAAAAAGGACUCGCACGAGCAGGGAACUGCCCGUUGAAGGUAGUUAUAUGCCAGAUCCCAUUUCAAGGUAGAAGAGCCCCCAUCUCCUUAGCACUCGCCAAUCAUCUUCCUGAGUUCGAAAUCCUAAAGACACAGUGAGAUCUUUGGAAAAAAAUAGUUUGAUCAAUUGUAUAUCCUUUGGGCUAGUUUACUCAAGAUUUAAAUACAAAUAAUUGGAACAUGAAAAACCUUUUAAAGUUACAUUUAGACAGCUACACAAAUGACCUUACCCUCAAUGGCCGGAAAAAGACCCAUCUGCCAUUUCUUAUUUUUUGAUACAUGCACAUGGCACUAUAUGAAGAGAACAAAGUAGAUCACCUGUCAUGUGAAUCGAGGUACUGAACUACUUAUCCAAGUAUAAUUGGGACUGACACUAAAGAAAGCAGAAUUACAUUUGCUCCUAUAGAGCAAGAAGGGUUGAGACUCGAGGAGUUUAUACAGUCUGUCUAGUUGCUCCGUAGUGAGUGGAAACUUGAGACUAAGGAGUUCUCGCCUUGAUGCCAGAAAUACUAGCUCUAAAAGCACAGCCAUUUUUCUUCUCCAGUAGGAGUUCUUUGAGCUUCCAACAGUUCAGUUAUCUCAUCGCCGUUGUCCGUGAGCACUACCAAAGCACUUUCGCUCGAUCUUUCCUUCCUCGUCAAGGUCUAGUUCUACGCCUUUCCGAGACCGGACGCCCGACUUCGUUGCGGGUGUUCGUCAUGGUUAUUCCAGUGUAGUGCCUGUGAUGGGGAAGCCACUGUGUUGUGUAUUCCCCAUAGGUAGGCUAAACGGGUAAUGUGAAUCUGGUCGGGUAAGAAGCGGAUCGAACAAAACUAUAUGAGGAAGCUUUAUGGUAACCCCAACCCAACCAAAAAUAGGUUUGAGAAAGAUUAUGGUAUCCCUAACCAGUGCUCUUAACUCAAUAACAAAGGUGAGGAAAGCUUUACAGUAACUUCCCUAAUCAGUGCUCUUGAUACAUAUGAAAAAAAAUAGUAAAAACUGGUUUUAUAAUUAUACAAUUGAUUUCCCCUUAAUGGAGAAAAAGAAAAAUAAAGGUAGUAUUAAAGGCUAACAAUAAAACGAAAAUAAUAUAUUUUCCAACAUAUUUUCUAGAUGUUCUGCGAUGUUUUUAUCUCCGCCGCCGGCGCUAAUAUCACACAUUAGAUGACAGUAGAUUUCUUGAAGGUACGACUUGUCUUGAUUAAGUCAGGUUUAAGACACUGAUUUCUCAACGUGAGUGACUAUGAUAUGAUUGUAUCAUUUUGUUUGGUGAUUAUGUUUUUUCGUGAUCUGAAAAUAUUAAUUAAAUAACCAUAAAUUUGCUUCAUCACUUAACAACUCUAUAAAUUUGUGCUCAUAAAUUGCAAGAUGAAUUAAUAUAUAAAAUAUAUAUAACCGUGCCCGUGUCCCAUUUUUUUACAUGGUGAGUUCCUCGUGUCCCGUGUCCGAGCCGGACUAUCCAUAGGUAACCAUUGUUGUUUGAAGUUUUCACAUGAUAAAUAAAUCAUCUCCAUCUAUUUAAAUGGAUAACUAGAACAGAAAAUGAAAUAAAACUAAUGAACAAUGUCGUGAGAAUAAGACAUGUUAUUGAAAGUAGGAAGGUCCGAGGUUUAUAUUUUAAAGGAAACUCAUUGUUUGCUGUCCUGAUCAUGUUCCUCCUUAUAAAUAAUCAUUGUAUUAUGCUUCACCAAAUCAUCCUUUGAGACACAGGGAAACAUUGGGGGAACACGGUUGAAGGGGCACAUCAUCAAUCAAAACAUCUGUGUCCUCAUUUUUUGACAACAGGCCACUGAUGCAAGUAAAUCACAAUUAGGGAUUUAAGAAACAGUUGCAAAUAAAUAAAUAAAUCAAGCAUAUUUCGGGGGAGAAUGCCAAUAUAUAUAAACAUUGAUUAUAAUAUACAAAUUGCAUUGUUCGCUAGAACUUAUGGUACACAAUUUUACAAAUUUCAUGAGCCAAAAUGACUGUUAAAAAACAAAAAACAUUAUUAUGAUAAAGAAACGCAUGCGGAUGAUUCUAAAUGCCUAAGUGAAUGCAUAGCAUCAAGGCCGGCCAAUCAAUUCAGAGAACCCUGUUCUAAUUUAAAAAAUGGGCCUAAAUAUAUAUAUAAUAUAUUAUAUAUAUAUAUAUAUAUAUAAUAUAUAUAAUUUAAGACGAAACGCUGCGGAUGAUUCUAAAUGCCUAAGUGAAUGAUAGCAUCAAGGCCGCAAUAAUCAAUUCAGAGACCCUGUUCUAAAUUUAAAAAUGGGCUAAAUAUAAUAUUAUAUAUAUAUAUAUAUAUUAUAUAUAUAUAAUAUAUAUUAAUAUAUAUAUAUAUAAAUUAUAUAUAUAUAUAUAUAUAUAUAUAUAUAUAUAUAUAUAUAUAUUUUAAUGAUUAAAAUGACUAACAAAAGAUAAAAUUAUAUAUUAACCAAAUGAGUAAUACUAUGCUAGUAUACUAGUAUCCAUUUCAACCCUAAAAUUUUAUUUAUUUAUUAUAUUAUAAUUUUAUAAAGAAUACAAGUUACCCCUCGUUUCCACCCUAAAAUCAAAAUCUAAAAUCUAAAAUCAAUAUGAUACAGGAACUAAAAUAGGAUUUCACCCUAAAAUUUAAAAUAAAUCUAAAUAAUCUACUUUUUUCUACCUUCAAAAUCAAAUAAUCACAAUCAAAAUAAAUGGAAGUAACUAAUUGAAUAAACUAACCUGAUAAAAGAGAGGAUUGAAAAGGAAAAAUCAGAUUUUUUUCUGGUUCCAAACACGCUUCUAACAGAGAAAGAGAGAAGAGAAUAAACGUGAGAGGAGAGAGAAGUGAGAACGUGUGAGAAAGGAGAAAAAAACGUUUGGUUCCAAUAUCCUAUUUUUCAGCAUUUAAUAUUUAUUUAUUAUAUGUGAUACAAAAAUAUUUUUAUUUAUUAUUUUUUUAUAUUCACUAAUAAUAGUUAAUUUGAGCCCCACAAAGUGAGGCCUGUGCUACUGCACAGCUUGCACAGGGAAAAGAACUGCACCACUUGCACAGGAGAAAAAACCGGCCUGCAUGAAACACAACACAAAAAUUUGUGCCGAAUCUGGCAUUACAAAGCGUAAAUUCGGAGAAAAAUAUAUCAAUAAAUGAAAUAAAACGAGUGUAUUAUUGCUGAAGUGAAACAUAACUUGAAAGGAUGAACAGUCCUAGUGCCCCAGAGCCAAUUCCUACACAGCAAACAAUAUUUCAAAGAGCCAGCCCCACAUCCUAAUGUCCAUAUCUAACGCAAAUCAAGUUCCAAAGAUAUACUAUUCCCUUCUCCGGUCAACUAUAUAUAUCUAACCUCGUGUGACUUCUCUCACACUCUGGCCAUGUGGAUAGUCCCAGCAAAUGCACCUCUGAUCUUCCUAUACCUUCUAGUUCUAGCAUAAAUCGUGUGGAUACUGGAUAGGGUUUGCUACUGUGCUAACACCCCAUUGCCCACAUUUCUCAUAUGGGAUUCGGCUUCCUGACAAUAUUGUCAUAUCUUGGUAGUAAAGCAAAACAAGAAAAGGGAAACACUUCUGAAGAUUAGCUCCAUAUACUUAAUUUAUAUAAUUCAUACCUUCUGUCCAUGGUUUGACUAUUGCCGUAUCAAUGACCAUAGGGUCAGUAGUAGUAUUUAUCAGCCCUUGAGAGGCUUUCAACUCUUCCUCUUUUAUUAAGACUAGCUUUUUAAAGCUUCUUCUUUCUUUAUUGCUUUGCUCUCCCUCAUAUGCAUUUAGCUUUCUCGCCAACCAAAGGAACCGUUCAGACACAGUAACUUUGACAGCUUUUGGAGGUGGAUCAGCCCGAAGCAUCCGAGCUAGCGUGCAAAUGACUAUGCAUUGAAACAUUUGAGGAACAUUUGAAACAAUAUAAAAUUGUCGGAUUCACUAAAAGAAUAUAUUUAAUUGAUUUGCAUUGACAUUGUAAUUUCUUUUACAUUGCCAAUCAAUAAUAUAUUGUUGAUCCACAAAAUUUUUUAAUGUAUCUAGCCUAAAAAAAAUUAUACAAAACAUGAUUUGUCUAUACUUCAUUGUAUCAAAAUUAAUCCUUUAAAGAAAACAUCACAAACAAAGAAUANNNNNNNNNNNNNNNNNNNNNNNNNGUUGAGGAACAUUUGAAACAAUAUAAAAAUUGUCGAUCACUAAAAGAAAUUAUUUAAUUGAUUUGCAUACCAUUGUAAUUAUCUUUUACAUUGCCAAUCAAUAAUAAUGUUGGAUCCACAAAAUAUUUUUAAUGUAUCUAGCCUAAAAAAAAUUAUACAAAACAUGAUUUGUCUAUCACUUCAUUGUAUCAAAAUUAAUCCUUUAAGAAAAUACAUCAAACACAAAAAUAAGUGGCAACCUAUUGAUCCUUUUUCCAUUCUCACUGCCCGGAAAAAAUUAAACAAAACUCUCAAGCAUCAUUUGCAUAAAUAUAUAGCAUUUCUUUUAUUCAAAAAAAUUGAAUAUUUUAAUCAGGGCUACUGGAAUAAAAGAUACAGUGUACUAAAAGUCAAAACACGGAUAAUAAAAAUGAAAAAUAUGCGAAAUAGGAAGAUUUGGAACGCGAUCGAGUGUGAUUGAAAAAGUGUUCGUUAGAUUCAGAAAGUGCAUAUUGGGAGUUGUUAGUAUUGUCAUGUUUAGUAGCCCAGAGUUUGAACUUGGACCUGCUACUCUUAACUCUUCCGGAUGUCCCAGCUCAGGCCUCACCACGUGAGCAACCACAGUGGGGCAAGAUUAUAGAGGAGUGUAGUUGUUUAUUUUAGUUGAGUAAUCUCUAACCUAGAGUAUUUUUGUUGUAAGUCACUCUUGCUUCCUGCCCUCUGGUGUUCCCUUAGUACUAGGCGAAGGCAGUUUUUCCAAUGAAACUCUAUCUACUAAGAAUGACUAAAACGACAUAAGUUAUCAUGAAAAUAUUUUCUUCUAAGAGAGUUACGAUAGCCCUGGGCCUCUUUCAGUUAAAAUAAGCACAGAAAUUUUGUGACAGCUUAUUCCCCAAUCAAAAAUAUACUUGUGUGAACAACCUGCUUCCAACCCCAAACCUUUGCAUGGAUGCAUAGAAACGAACCUACUGACAAUAUACAUGUAUCAGAAUCAGUUAAGGCAGGAGGUCUGUAUGAAAAAAAAAGCAUACAACCUAUAUAACCCACAUAUUAGGACCCUCACUCAGGAGCAUUGUCCCAGAUCAGCUUGUUAACGACACCACGCAACACUGGAUAUUUCUCUGACACGUACAUACACCAAUUACAACAUGUUUUUUUAACACACGGAGCAUAAUAUAAGAACUAAAAUAUGAGGAAUAUUCAGCUACUUGUUUGAGUAACUAAGUAAGAAAUGAUCCUCUCGGUUCCAACUUGCAGGUUAUAAGCUCAUUUUCACCCAUGACUAACAUCACGAAACAAGAAACUAAUAUAAUUGUAAGUUUGAAAAUCGAACGGUAAUAGGAGGAAUGGUAGCAUCCCAAGAAUUGAAUAUAUGAAUAUCUUAGUCCAUCAUAUAAGUUAAGGGAGAUGCCACUUACUUCAAAGAAAUUUUAUCCACGAGUUUGUUCAAAGACUUUGCAUAUGAAUCACUCAUUCCCUCAAAGAAACUCCAAUAAAUAUAGUGUAUGAUCACAUAUGUAAGAAAUUAUAGGAUAGUUCAAGUUUAUUCAUGCCGCCCAUAACUGCAAACGUACCAAGGAUCUGAUGUCAACCCACGCACGUACAUCUCAGGAGAAAAAAAGAAGAAGAAAGAAAGAGAAUAAUUCAGAAAUACGUUCAUGUACUACCGUUCCAACUCAGAACUGAAGUCCAAUAUUCGUCAGCGUGUCACAGGUAGCCAAUCAUUUCCAUCGCUGCCCUUAGAGUCUCUUUAAGAAUCUAAUAACGCAAUAAGAUGUAGAUCAGAAAAGAAAGAAAACACAAAUAGUCGGAGACACGUUUUCCCAUUUCUGAUCAAGACUUUCAGGCAUGCGAUGCCACGUUUUUAAUGUUCUUAACAGUGAAUUUUGAGAAAUACAAAAAUUGAAAAGCAGUCCAUCUUAAUUCUGUUCUUCACAGGAGUCUACCCUUAUAUGAUUAACAAGUAAUUACCUCCAAAUCUUUGUCCUGUGACGCGCUGUCUAAACGUGGCUGAUUGCUGUCAAAGCAUAUAAGCACCAGUUAUUAGAACAGGCGCCGCCAAAGACUACGACAGUUCCAUUCAGAAUGCCUAAUGAAAAUUAGAUGUGAUAAGUAGCUCCUCUUCGUUUCAGAAUAUAUUAAAUCAAUUUGGCACAACGAGUUAGGUUUACCUUUCUUUCCUGUGAUGAAAGUCAAGCAGAUAUAUGACGGUCUCUACCAUCCUUUGUAAAUUUCUCCAUAUUCGUGCCUCCCAAAAGAUGUCCAGCCCAUGUGGUGCAAUCACAAUUCUCCUCUCCCUUGGCCAGUAUGAAUUAAAAUUGCAUUGAUAGGUAACAAAUGCAUAAAGAUAGGGGCUAUUUCGAAUAUGUUCAAAGUGGAAUCGAUAAGUGUAUCAAGAAUCAGAAGAGACCAAAGCAACGAUUAGUCCCGUAUUCAUGAAAAAAUCCAACAACAUUUCUCAUAAGUUUUUACGCACUGACAUGCUAAUUUAAUUUCAACAGCAAUCAUUGUUAAUAACAUUAUUUAUCUCUAAACUUUUAUAGCAUGAUAAAUAUCUCCCUUUUGUGACUAUUUUUAUAAGCAAAAAAUUUACUUUUUCGAAUUCAUUGAAUAUACCAUUCUAGUUCUUAAUAUACACUGCUUAUUCAAUGAGUCUAAUAAAGUCUAAACUUUUGGUUCAUAUAAAUUAGGACCAGGGUUAUUUAUUAGAGGAAUCGUUUAAUAAACACAUAUAUAUGCAAAAAUGAUGAUAAUGGUGUUCUGGAUUAAUUUUUAAACUAGCAAGAUACGUUUGAAUUAUGGUUCAUUUAUUUAUGAAUAAUUUUUUUUUUUACAGAUAGUUCCAAAUAAAAAUUAAAUUCAAUGCUGUUAUAAUAAAGUUUAUAUUCUAAUAUUUCAUCUAGUGGCAACCUAUUGAUCCUUUUUCCAUUCUCACUGCCCGGAAAAAAAUUAAACAAAACUCUCAAGCAUCAUUUGCAUAAAUAUAUAGCAUUUCUUUUAUCAAAAAAAUUGAAAUAUUAAUCAGGGCUACUGGGAUAAAAGAUACAGUGUACUAAAAGUCAAAACACGGAUAAUAAAAAUGAAAAAUAUGGGAAAUAGGAAGAUUUGAGCGAUCGAGUGAUUGAAAAGAGUGUUCGUUAGAUUCAGAAGAGUGCAUUAUUGGGAGUUGUUAGUAUGUUAUGUUAGUAGCCAGAGUUUGAACUUUGGACCUGCUACUCUUAACUCUUCCGGAUGUCCCAGCUCAAGGCCUCAACCACGUGAGCAACACAGUGGGGCCAAAUGUAUAAGGAGUUAGUUGUUUAUUUAGUUGAGUAAUCUCUAACCCUAGAGUAUUUUGUUGUAAGCACUCUUGCUUCCCUGCCCUCUGGGUUCCCUUAUACUAGGGUAGGAGUUUUUCCAAUGAAACUCUAUCACAAGAAUACUAAAACACAUAGAUACAUGAGAAAGAUCAGGCUUGAUUAAGACCAGAAGUGUGAUUCGCGGUAAACAUAUACGGUUUAUUAAAGCACCGAGAUAAUAUUAGGUACGUAAAUAUAUGAGGAUAUUCACCUAGCUGUUUGAUAAAAAGUAAGAAGAUCCUCUCGUGUCCCAACUUGCAGGUUAUUAAAGCUCAUUUUUCACCCAUGAUAAACACGAACAAGAAACUAAUAGUAAUUGUAAGUUUGAAAUGACACGGUAAUAAGGAGAAUGGUAGCAUUCCGGAGAUUGAAAUAUGAAUAUUUAGUCCCAAUAUAGUUAAGGGAGAUGCACUUACUUCAAAAGAAAUAUAUUAUCACGAGUUGUUCAAAGACUUUGCUAUGGAAUCACUCAUCCACUCAAGGAAUCUUCACUAAUCAAUAGUGUCGAUGCACAUAUGUAAGAAGUAUGAUAGGAUAGUUCAAGUUUCUCAUCCGCCCAAUUGCAAACAGCUCAACCAGAGAUCGGAUGUCAACCCAGGCACGUACAUUAGGAGAAAAAAGGAAGAAGAAGAAGAGGAGAUGAAAUGCAGAAUACAUUUCAUGUACUACGAUUCCAACAUCAGAAUGAGUUCCAAUAUUCGCCAGCGUGUCAACAGGUAGCAAUCAUCAUUCCAACUGCCCUUAGAGUCUUCUUUAAGAUAUCUAUAAUAACGCAAUAGAGAUGAAUCAGAAAGAGAAAGAACAACAAAUAGUCGAGACAAUUUCAUUUCGUGAUCAAGAUGUCAGGGCAUAGGUAGGCCACGUUUUUAAUGUUCUUAACAGUAAUUUGAGAAAACAAAAAUGUGAAAAGAGUCCAUCUUAAUUCUGUUCUUCCAGAAGUACCUUAUAUGAUUUAACAGUUAUACCUCCAAAUUCUUUGUCUUUUUGACGCUGUAAGGCUGAUUGCUUCAAGCAUUAUAACCGCCAGUUAUAAGAACAGCUGGCGGCACAAAGAACCUAGAACAGUUCCAUUCAAAUGCCUAAUGAAAAUUAGAUUGAUAAGUAGCUUCCUUUCUGUUUGCCAGAAUAUAUAAGAUAAAUUUGGACAACGUAGUUAAGGUUUACCUUUCUUUCCUGUGAUUGAAAGCACGCAUAUAUGGUCCUCACCAUCCUUUGUAAUUUUCCAUAUCGUGCCUCCCAAAAGAAGUCCAGCAAAUGUGGUGCAAUACAAUUCUCUCUCCUUGCCAGUAGAUAAAAUGCAUUGAAGGUAACAAAUGCAUAAAGUAAGGGGCCAUUUUCGAAUUGUUCAAAAGGUGGAAUCGAAAGGUGUAAAAGAAUCAGAAAGAGCCAAGGCAACAUUAGUCCCGUAUUCAUAAAAAUCCAACAAACAUUUUCUCAUAAGUUUUUUACGCACUGACAAUGCUAAUUUAAUUUCAAAGCAGCAAUCAUGUUAUGCAUUUAUAUUAUUCUAAACUUUUAAGGCAUGAUAAAUACUCCCUCUUUGGUAUUAGUAAAAAAUUUACUUUUUCGUAUCAUUGAAUAAUACCAAUUGCUAGUUCUAUAUACACUGCUUAUCCAAUGAAUCUAAAAGUCAAACUUUUUCAUAUAAAUAGGACCAGGGUGUAUUUCAUAUAGAGGAAACUGUUUAGAUAACACAAACUAUAUGCAAAAAUGUGAUAAUGGUGUUCUGGAUUAAUUUUAAAACUAGAGAUAGCAGGAUUAGUGGUUCAUUAUGAUUUUAAAUGUUAUAUUACAAAGGUUCAAAUAAAAUUAAAUUCAAGAGCUGAUAUAAAUAGUUAUUUCAAAUUUAAUCAUCUAGCGCUUGAUAAAAAUCAUGCUUACAAUAUGUUCUUGGCACAAACAUAGAUGGCAUGAGAAGCUGUAUCCAUUCGGGGCCCUACCACUAAUGAUGAAGGGAAAAUAUGUUUCAUCAUGUGGCAUGGUAAAUACCCUUUCAAUAUUCGUACUCAGGAAUUACCCUCCUAGGCUUCAAUUUUGGAAUUCAUACCCUCUAAAACUACCCGUGGGCCGAAGAANNNNNNNNNNNNNNNNNNNNNNNNNAUACUGAGAAAUAUUUUUUCUAAGGAGUUAGAUACCUGGCUCUUUCAGUAAAAAAGCACAGGAGAUUUUUUGACAUUAUUCCCCAAUCAACAAAAAUACGUGUGACAAACCCUGCCUUACACACACACCCAACUUUGCAUCGAUGCAGAAACAACCUACUACAAUAUACAUUAUCAGAAUCAGUAAGCAGGAGGUCUGUAUGAAAAAAUAAUAGCAUACAACCUAUACUCCCAACACUUAGGACCUACACUCAGGAGACAUUGUCCAAGAUCAGCUUGUUACUGCAACGCAGACACCUGGGAUAUUUCCUGACCAUGUACUACACCCAAUUCACCCCAAAGUUUUUUUAACCACCCACGGAGAUAAUAUAGAACUAAAAUAUGAGGAAUAUUCAGCUGACUUGUUUGAUAAUAAGUAAAAAGAUCCUCUCGGUGUCCCAACUUGCAGGUUAUAAAGCUCAUUUUUCACCCAUGAUAAACACGAACAAGAAACUAAUAGUAAUUGUAAGUUUGAAAUGACACGGUAAUAAGGAGAAUGGUAGCAUUCCCAAGGAAUUGAAAUAUGAAUAUUUAGUCCCAAUAUAAGUUAAGGGAGAUGCACUUACUUCAAAGAAAUAUAUUAUCACGAGUUGUUCAAAGACUUUGCUAUGGAAUCACUCAUCCACUCAAGAAACUCUUCAAUAAUCAAUAUGUAUGAUACAUAUGUAAGAAAGUAUAUAGGAUAGUUCAAGUUUUCAUCCGCCCAAUACUGCAAACACCAAAGAUCUGAUGUCAACCACGCACGUACAUUCAGGAGAAAAAGAAGAAGAAAGAAAGGAAUAAUGCAGAAAUACUUCAUGUACUACCGAUUCCAACUCAGAAUGAAGUUCCAAUAUUCGCCAGCGUGUCAACAGGUAGCAAUCAUUUCCACCUGCCCUUAGAGUCUUCUUUAAGAUAUCUAUAAUAACGCAAUAAGAUGUAGAUCAGAAAGAAAGAAAACACAAAUAGUCGAGACAGUUUUCCCAUUUCGUGAUCAAGAUUCAGGGCAUGCAUGCCACGUUUUUAAUGUUCUUAACAGUAAUUUGAGAAACAAAAAUUGAAAAAGUCCAUCUUAAUUCUGUUCUUCACAGAGCUACCUUAUAUGAUUUAAAGUAAUUACCUCCAAAUUCUUUGUCUUUGACGCCUGUAAGGCUGAUUGCUUCAAAGCAUUAUAAGCACCAGUUAUUAGAACAGUGGCCGCACAAAGAAUCUACGAACAGUUCCAUUCAAAUGCCUAAUGAAAAUUAGAUUGAUAAGUAGCUCCUUUCUGUUUGCAGGAAUAUAUAAGAUCAAAUUUGGACAACGUAGUUAAGGUUUACCUUUCUUUCCUGUGAUUGAAAUACAGCAGAUAUAUGACGGUCCUCACCAUCCUUUGUAAUUUUCCAUAUCGUGCCUCCCAAAAGAUGUCCAGCCAUGUGGUGCAAUCACAAUUCCUCUUCCCUUGCCAGUAGGAUUAAAAUGCAUUGAAGGUAACAAAUGCAUAAAGUAAGGGGCUAUUUCGAAUUGUUCAAAAGGUGGAAUCGAAAGUGUAUCAAAGAAUCAGAAAGAGCAAAGCAACAUUAGUCCCGUAUUCAUAAAAAUCCAACAACAUUUUCUCAUAAGUUUUUUACGCACUGACAAUGCUAAUUUAAUUUCAACAGCAAAUCAUGUAUAAUACUUAUAUUAUUCUAAACUUUUAAGGCAUGAUAAAUACUCCCUCUUUGACUAUUAUAAGAAAAAAUUUACUUUUUCGAUUCAUUGAAUAACCAAUUGUCUAGUUCUAUAUACACUGCUUAUUCAAUGAAUCUAAAAGUUAAACUUUUUCAUAUAAAUAGGACCAGGGGUGUAUUUCAUAUAGAGGAAACGUUUAGAUAACACAAACUAUAUGCAAAAAUGAUGAUAAUGGUGUUCUGGAUUAAUUUUUAAACUAGAAGAUACUUUGAAUUAGUGGUUCAUAUAUUUAUAAUUAUAUUUUUCAAAGUUCCAAAUAAAAAUUAAAUUCAAGCUGUUAUAAUAAAUAUAUUUCAAAUUUAAUCUAUCUAGGCUUGAUAAAAAAUUCCAUGCUAGCACAAUUCUUGGACAAACAUAGAUGCAUGGAAAGCUGUUCCUUCGGGGCGCUACCACUAAUGAUGAAGCGGAAAAAUGUUUCCCAUGUGGCAUGGAAAUACCCCUUUCAAUAUUCGUACUCUAGGAAUCUACCCUCUAUGGCUUCAAUUUGAGGAAUAUAACCCUCUAAAAACUACCCCGUGGGCAAGAACCUUUUUAACUCUGGUCCCUGAUAUGUUUUCCUCCAGGACUAACCUAGAGAUAUUGCAACGACAAUGGAAUUUCGUAAUGGUUUUCAUGAAAAGAAAGCGGCAUGAGUAGGAGAACUUAAUUAUGGACGAAUUUUAUCGGGAUCAAGGUUCAGAAAGUAAGUUAAUUUGUCACAGAGGGAGGGGGGGAAUAUUUAAGAGGUAAAGUAGCUGAACAAAUGCGAUACACCGGGCCUAAAUAUAGCCUCUAAAGUGCUUACGGUGAGGUGAUGAUUCUGAGAGUAUGUUAGCCUUGUUACUGUCUUUGGAAAGUCAGAAUCCAAUACGAUUAGAGUGAACAAAUCAAAUUCGACACUUCUGCAAAGAGAUUAGAUAUAUUCAGUCAACACUUGGCUGAUAACCAUUACAUUUGUUCCAAAAUUCUAAAUUCUGCAAGCCUUACCAGACGGGACACCCAAGGGAAAAACAACAAAAACAGAAUGUUAUUUUUCCACCCCGCCGUGAGGAGGGAACUGGUCAUACAUAUCUCUCUCCCUUUUUAACUUGGUCUCCCUGAUAAUCGUUUUCCUCCAGGACUAACCUAUGAGAUAUCCAAGGUAACAAUGGAUUUCGUAAUGGUUUUCAUGAAAAGAAAGCAUGAGUAGAGAACUUAAUUAUGACGAUUUUAUCGGGAUCAAGGGUUCAGAAAGUAAUGUAUAUUUGUACACAGAGGGGAGGGGGGGAAUAUUAUAGAGGUAAAAGAGUGAAACAAAUGCAUACCACCGCCUAAAUAUAUCACCUCUAAAUGCUUACCAGAGAGGUGAUGAUUCUGAGAGUAUGUUAGCCUUGUUACUCUUUGGAAAGCAGAAUCAAUACCAUCUAGAGUGAACAAAUCAAAUUCCGACACUUGCUGCAAGAGAAUUAGAUAUAUCAGUCAAACCACUUGGCUGAAUAACAUGUACAUUUUCCAAAAUUCUAAAUCUGCAAGCUUACAGACGAGGACACCAGAACAACAAACCAGAAUGUAAUUUCACCUUUCUUGAGAGGAACUGGUCAUACAUAGUGAGAAGUCCCAUUCUAUAGACAGGCUCAGUUGAAUAAACAGGAGCAGAGAGUCCAAGCUGCUCCAUGGCAUAGGGUAAGGCACCAAGGUGAAGUGUGUCAGGAUGUGAAAGUAAAACGGCAUCUAUAGUUGACGCUACCCUACAUGUUAGCCACACAACCUCAAUAAGAAAACAAAACCAAUAGAACCACAAACAUAUAUAUUAAACAUCAAUUCCUUUAACAUCUGCACACAAAAAAAAAUAUUCUCCCUCCAUCUACUUCUUGUGCCAACUGCAAUUACGGUCGUAAUAUAAUGGUUAAAGAGGUAUUGGCAAUAGCAUCACGACGCAUUUGUUUGUGUUGUACCUGGAUAUAAACAUUUGCAGGGUAACCAGAACCACAAUUUAAAACCUUCUCUGUGCCUAACAACAAACAAUAAAGGGAGUAACCUGGAUAGGGGUUGAAGGAGGGAAGAGUCAAAGUGGUCAUUCCAACCACAGUCGAUAAGGAAGUUGAAGCCAUCAAUGGAAACCAAGUAAGAGAACUCAUCCACUCAAGGAAACUCUUCACAUAAUCAAUAGUGCUGGAUGCAACAUAUGUAAGAAAGUAUAUAGGAUAGUUCAAGUUUUCAUCCGCCCAAUACUGCAAACACCAAGAUCUGAUGUCAACCCACGCACGUACAUUCAGGAGAAAAAAAAGAAGAAGAAAGAAAGAAUAAAUGCAGAAAUACAUUCAUGUACUAACCGAUUCCAACAUCAGAAUGAGUUCCAAUAUUCGUCCAGCGGUGUCAACAGGUAGCAAUACAUUUCCACCUGCCCUUAGAGUCUUCUUUAAGAUAUCUAAAUAACCAAUAAGAUGUAUGAUCAGAAAAGAAAGAAAACACAAAUAGUCGAGACAGUUUUCCCAUUUCGUGAUCAAGAUUUUUCAGGGCAUGCAUGCCCACGUUUUUUAAUGUUCUUAACAGUAAUUUGAGAAAACAAAAAUUGAAAAAGUCCAUCUUAGUUCUGUUCUGUCACAGAGCUACCCUUAUAUGAUUUAAAAGUUAAUUACCUCCAAAUUCUUUGUCCUUUUGACGCCUGUAAGGCUGAUUGUUCAAAGCAUUAUAAGCACCAGUUAUUAGAACAGCUGGCCGCACAAAAGAACCUAGAACAGUUCCAUUCAAAUGCCUAAUGAAAAUUAGAUUGAUAAGUAGCUUCCUUUCUGUUUGCCAAGAAUAUAUAAGAUCAAAUUUGGACAACGUAAGUUAAGGUUUACCUUUCUUUCCUGUGAUUGAAAUCAACAGCAUAUAUGACGUCCUCACCAUCCUUUGUAAUUUUCCAUAUCGUGCCUCCCAAAAGAUGUCCAGCAACAUGUGGUGCAAUCACAAUUCCCUCUCCCUUGCCUAGUAGGAAUUAAAAUGCCAUUGAAGGUAACAAACGCAUAAAGUAAGGGGGGCUAUUUCGAAAUUGUUCAACAAGGUGGAAUCGAAAGUGUAUCAAAAGAAUCAGAAAAGACCAAAGCAACAUUAGUCCCUAUUUCAUAAAAAUCCAACAACAUUUUCUCAUAAGUUUUUUACGCACUGACAAUGCAUAAUUUAAUUUCAAAGCAGCAAUCAUGUUAUACAUUUAUAUUAUUCUAACUUUUAAGGCAUUGAUAAAUACUCCCUCUUUGGUACUAUUUAUAAGAAAAAAUUUACUUUUUCGAUUCAUUGAAUAACCAAUGUGUCUAGUCUAUAUACACUGCUUAUUCAAUGAAUCUAAAAAGUAAACUUUUUUCAUAUGAAUAGGACCAGGGUGUAUUUCAUAUAGAGGAAACUGUUUAGAUAACACAAACUAUAUGCAAAAAUGUGAUAAUGGUGUUCUGGAUUUUAAAUUUUAAACUAGGAAGAUACUUUGAAUUAGUGGAUUCAUAUAUUUAUAAAAUUUAUUACAAAGUUCCAAAUAAAAAUUAAAUUCAAGACUGAUUAUAAAUAAAGUUAUUUUCAAAUUUAAUCAUUCUAGCCUUGAUAAAAAAAAUCCAAUGCUUACACAAAUAUUUCUUGGCACAAAACAUAGAUGGUAUGGAAAGCUGUAUCCAUUCGGGGCCCUACCACUAAUGAUGAAGGGAAAAAUAUGUUUCCAUCAUGUGGCAUGGUAAAUAACCCCUUCAAUAUUGGUACUCUAGGAAUCUACCCUGUAUGGCUUCAAUUUUGGAAUAUUAACCCUCUAAAACUACCCACGUGGGGCCAAGAACCCUUUUUAACUUGGUCUCCCUGAUAAUCGUUUUCCUCCAGGACUAACCUAUGAGAUAUCCAAGGUAACAAUGGAUUUCGUAAUGGUUUUCAUGAAAAGAAAGCAUGAGUAGAGAACUUAAUUAUGACGAUUUUAUCGGGAUCAAGGGUUCAGAAAGUAAUGUAUAUUUGUACACAGAGGGGAGGGGGGGAAUAUUAUAGAGGUAAAAGAGUGAAACAAAUGCAUACCACCGCCUAAAUAUAUCACCUCUAAAUGCUUACCAGAGAGGUGAUGAUUCUGAGAGUAUGUUAGCCUUGUUACUCUUUGGAAAGCAGAAUCAAUACCAUCUAGAGUGAACAAAUCAAAUUCCGACACUUGCUGCAAGAGAAUUAGAUAUAUCAGUCAAACCACUUGGCUGAAUAACAUGUACAUUUUCCAAAAUUCUAAAUCUGCAAGCUUACAGACGAGGACACCAGAACAACAAACCAGAAUGUAAUUUCACCUUUCUUGAGAGGAACUGGUCAUACAUAGUGAGAAGUCCCAUUCUAUAGACAGGCUCAGUUGAAUAAACAGGAGCAGAGAGUCCAAGCUGCUCCAUGGCAUAGGGUAAGGCACCAAGGUGAAGUGUGUCAGGAUGUGAAAGUAAAACGGCAUCUAUAGUUGACGCUACCCUACAUGUUAGCCACACAACCUCAAUAAGAAAACAAAACCAAUAGAACCACAAACAUAUAUAUUAAACAUCAAUUCCUUUAACAUCUGCACACAAAAAAAAAUAUUCUCCCUCCAUCUACUUCUUGUGCCAACUGCAAUUACGGUCGUAAUAUAAUGGUUAAAGAGGUAUUGGCAAUAGCAUCACGACGCAUUUGUUUGUGUUGUACCUGGAUAUAAACAUUUGCAGGGUAACCAGAACCACAAUUUAAAACCUUCUCUGUGCCUAACAACAAACAAUAAAGGGAGUAACCUGGAUAGGGGUUGAAGGAGGGAAGAGUCAAAGUGGUCAUUCCAACCACAGUCGAUAAGGAAGUUGAAGCCAUCAAUGGAAACCAAGUAAGAGAGAGGGUUUUCAUUGUACACUCCACAAAGUGGUUUUACUUGCACAGAUGUUCCCAUGUUGAUGUCUCUUGCUUUCCACCUUGUGCAUGUCAAAAUGGAGGCCCCGAGCAAAUCAAAUUAGGAGAUGAAAAUAAUAACAAAACUGUGAUAAACAUGUGAGAUCAUUAAGACAUUAGAACAAACAUGAGAAGAAGUUGACAUAGUUUGAGAUUCAUUAAGACAUUUGAACAAACAAGUGAUAUACGAAAUGCUUAAUUACAUAAUUUAUCCGAUAAAUCCCUAUUUCCCACUCUCAGCUUGAUAAAGUGAACUUACAGGAUGCUAAACUGUUGAAACAGCGAAUCUCCGACGGCGACCGUGAUUGAGUGUGGCUAGGGCUCAAGAAUGGAAUCGCAAAUCUGCAAGAUGAGAGCUCNNNNNNNNNNNNNNNNNNNNNNNNNNNNNNNNNNNNNNNNNNNNNNNNNNNNNNNNNNNNNNNNNNGUAAUUUCACCCUUUCUUGAGAGAACUGGUUCAUACAUAUGAGAAGUCCCAUUCUAUAGACAGGCUCAGUUGAAUAAACAGGAGCAGAGAGUCCAACUGCUCCUGCAUUAGGGUAAGGCACCAAGUUGAAGUGUGUCCAGGAUGUGAAAGUAAAACGCCAUCUAUAGUUGACGCUUACCCUACAUGUUACCACACAACCUCAAUAAGCAAAACAAAACAAUAGAACCACAAACCAUAUAUAUUAAACAUCAAUUCCUUUAAUCUGCCACACAAAAAAAAUAUUCUCCCUCAAUCUACUUUUUGUCUCGCAACUGCAAUUACGGUCGAAUAUAAUGGUUAAAGAGUAUGAGGCCAAUAGGCAUCCGACGCAUUUGUUUGUGUGUACCUGGAUAUAAAACAUUUAGCAGGUAACCAGAACCACAAUUUUAAAACCGUCUCUGUGCCCCUACAAAAACAAUAAAGCGGAUGUAACCUGCGAUAGGGGCUUGAAGGAGGGAAGAUCAAAAGUGCGUCAUUCCAACCACAGUCGAUAAGGAGGUUGAAGCCAUCAAUGGAACCAAGUAGAGAGAGGUUUUCAUUGUACAGCUCACAAAGUUAGAUGUUUACUUGCACAGAUAGCCCCAAUUAGUUGAAUUCUCUUGCUUCCACUAAUGUGACAUUGUCAAUUGGAGGCCCUCAGCAGCAAAAAUCAAAAGUAGGAGACUGAACAUAAUAACAAAAACUGUUGAUAAACAUGUGAGAUAUUAAGACAAUUAGAACAAACAUGAGAAGAAGUUGACAUAGUUUAGAGAUUAUUAAGACAUUUGAACAAACAAAGUGAUAUACGAAAUUGGCUUUUAAUUACAGAUUAUCGAUAAAUCCCUAUUUCCACUCUCAGCUUGAUAAAGUGAACUUACAGGAUGCUAAACUGUUGAAACAGCGAAUCUCCGACGGCGACCGUGAUUGAGUGUGGCUAGGGCUCAAGAAUGGAAUCGCAAAUCUGCAAGAUGAGAGCUCCCUCUUUCUUUGUCACUUCAGUACGCCGUUAAACGGAGGGAGCAGUGUUGAAGUGGGGUGGAGUGCAGUUUGACGGUUGCCCAGGGUCACAAACUCCGAUUAUUGAAUUUAUUUUUAGGAAAAUAACCCAUUUUGCAAGAAAAUUCUCAAAAUAACUCUGAUUUCAAAAAAAAUCUCAAACUACCCAUUUGUAGGAGAAGCCGUCAAUUGAAUUGGAGAUUUUUCUUAAAAAUUGAAUGGAGACGUCAAUUGGAUUGGCUAGGUAGGACAGGUGCCCUAGCCAAUCCAAUUGGCGUCUCAGUGUAAAAUGCUAUUUUUUUUUAAAUGGUAUACGUGAUAGAUAAAUUUGAUAUAUGACCAAUUGAUAUUAAUAAAAUUUUCCGUUUACACAAAAAAACCUAAUGGUGAUGACCGGGAUCACCUAAUCGACCUCCGAUCCCACAUCCUCUAUCUACCCUAACCCGUGGCCCUAACUCACGUUAAUGAUUCGGUACCGGUGUUUGAGCAUCUGAGGGCCCAUGAGCGUCACUACCAACUACAGGAGAAGGUCUGUUGAGGUAGUCAGACAAGUCAGCAUAGUCUUCAGUAUGCAUCGAUGGUGUACCAUCGUAGCUGAGCUCAUGACCCAUACCAGAGAAGUUGGGAUGUGGUUGACUCAUUGAUGGGCGACAGGGACGGUUGAAGGGAGACAUGGAUGUGAACGAUGCGUCGAGGAAAGAUUGGAAAGGUUGUUGGGGUGUUUGGUAGAGAUAGGGUUGUUGGAUGUUUUGGUUUUGUGAGGUUUGGGCUUCUUGGCUACGGUAGGAGGAUGGGCGGUUGGUGUUGAAUGAUCCUUGGGUGUUCUGGCUCAGGCGACUUUGGUAGGGUGAUGGGGUGGGUGCAAAGCGAUGUUGAGUCUCAGGUUGAUGGUCAAUUUGUUGGUGGUGGUAUGGGGUAUGCUCUUGGUAUUGGGGUUGGGUAUAUGGAAUGUUUUGGUUGUAUGUUUGUGUGUUGGUUGAACAGAACGUUUGACGGACAGGGAGUUGUGUGUAUCCGGUCUGACACUGUUGUUGGGGGUUUGAUGUUGAGGUGUCAGGUGUAUAAGUCAUCUGACGUGGGUCGUACAAGUACAUAUCCUCGGCGAUGAACUGAAAACCAACUGAUUUGUACCAAGCCAUAUAAAUAUGACUUGGUUUUUCUUCAGUUGGCAUGACUGCGUCAGUUAACACAUGGUCAUGACGGUGCUUCCAUUUGCGACACUUUGAUCUUGCGAAGCUUUGCCAUGGAUUGAAGUUCCAUUGGUCGUUAACUUUGCGCAUAUGCCAUUCUCCUAGGCUAGCUAGGGGAUCUGGGAUAUUUUGGGGCAUACCAAAUUGCAGCUUCACACGAUCACUAUUGUGCAUCUCCACUGUUGUGAACCGUAUUAUCGGUGUGCAUGCAGUCCAUACGGUCGCGUCUUCAGCAUUGAUUUGAUGGUCAUGAUCCAAAUUAAGGUAUGGACGUCAAAUAAACUGAAAUGUAAAAGAAGAUUGGAUUAUAGUCAAGGUAGAAGAAGUUAACAAAAUAUAACGAAAUAAUUAAGUUAUUUUCCUUACGUUUGUCGGUCGAAGGUGAUCCAACAGGUUGCGAUACUGAGUAAUACAAUGUCUUAGUUGUAACUCAUACCACGUGCAGACCAUCUACACGAAAAAGUCAAAAAAUAUUAGUUAGAGGUAAUAAUCUUUAAAGAAGUAAGUAAAGAUAUAGCAAUUUAAACAACUUACUUUUGUGCAUACGGAGAUAUGAAAGGGUUGUUGUUGACGGGUGCUAAGGACGGUAGUCUUGACCAACCUCAUGCUUGUAGCAAAACAGCACAUCUAGAAAAUGUAAAUGUGUCUUUGUGUGAGUUCUUGCACAAGGAGCUAUAGAGAUAGGCUAGACAAGCAGAUCUCCAACUGUAACUUCUUAUUCUAUCUACAUGUCUAAGUAAAGGUAAAUACAUAAUAUGCAUGCUAGAACCACUACCUUCGGGAAAUAAAAACGAGUCAAUUAACAGCAUAAUAUAACACCUAGUUUUUAUUAUUCGAGCAUCUUCGGUAGAAUGCUCAUCUAAGUAUAAACUAUUAUAGUACGACUUAAGGCGUGAAAGUAGUAUACCUUGACCUCUUGCGUUAAGAAUGCUCAUCUAAGUAUAAACUAUUAUAGUACGACUUAAGGCGUGAAAGUAGUAUACCUUGACCUCUUGCGUUAUCAUCUAACAAAUCAGUCUCCAAGAGAUCCAUGCAAAUUGAAUUCGCAUAGCUGGUUUUACCAUUAACAGCCUUACCUUCAAUGGGUAGUCCCAAAAGCAUGUAGACGUCUUCUAACGUAAUGGUACACUCACCAGUUGGGAACCAAAAUGUGUGUGUCUCUGGUCUCCAUCUUUCGCAUAAAGCUAGAAUGAAUUUGUUAUCUAUGGACCAAGAUAAAAUCUUGCUUAUAUGACCAAAACCGACGAGUUCAACAUAAGGUUGAAUCAUCGGGUCCAUAUGGACAUAUUCGUGGACCCGAGUUCGGAACCUUGAUAUAUCCUAUAAAAGAAAGAACAAAAAACUUGACUAAGUUGGUAUGUUAAAAUAAAAGGGGGUUGGUGAAGAUGAAAGAUAAAAAGUUAACAAAAGAAAAACUUAUAUAUAUUGCGAUGUUUGCAACCGUUCCUCUAUGUGAUUCGCCUGUUGUGAGGAUAGACAUUUUGUCGGGGGGUUGGUGUAGAUGAAAUUACAAGAAGUUGUUGCAGAUGAAAUUGUAGAAGAAGUAGUGAGAGUGAUGGUGUGGAAGAAGUGUUGAUGGAGUGGAUGUAUUUAUAGGAAAAUGGAUGGGAGCAUGAAAAGUUGUGCUUGCAUGGUGUCUCCACUUGAAUUGGCGACCAUGUACAACCUUUAAGAGGGGUCGNNNNNNNNNNNNNNNNNNNNNNNNNNNNNNNNNNNNNNNNNNNNNNNNNNNNNNNNNNNNNNNNNNNNNNNNNNNNNNNNNNNNNNNNNNNNNNNNNNNNNNNNNNNNNNNNNNNNNNNNNNNNNNNNNNNNNNNNNNNNNNNNNNNNNNNNNNNNNNNNNNNNNNNNNNNNNNNNNNNNNNNNNNNNNNNNNNNNNNNNNNNNNNNNNNNNNNNNNNNNNNNNNNNNNNNNNNNNNNNNNNNNNNNNNNNNNNNNNNNNNNNNNNNNNNNNNNNNNNNNNNNNNNNNNNNNNNNNNNNNNNNNNNNNNNNNNNNNNNNNNNNNNNNNNNNNNNNNNNNNNNNNNNNNNNNNNNNNNNNNNNNNNNNNNNNNNNNNNNNNNNNNNNNNNNNNNNNNNNNNNNNNNNNNNNNNNNNNNNNNNNNNNNNNNNNNNNNNNNNNNNNNNNNNNNNNNNNNNNNNNNNNNNNNNNNNNNNNNNNNNNNNNNNNNNNNNNNNNNNNNNNNNNNNNNNNNNNNNNNNNNNNNNNNNNNNNNNNNNNNNNNNNNNNNNNNNNNNNNNNNNNNNNNNNNNNNNNNNNNNNNNNNNNNNNNNNNNNNNNNNNNNNNNNNNNNNNNNNNNNNNNNNNNNNNNNNNNNNNNNNNNNNNNNNNNNNNNNNNNNNNNNNNNNNNNNNNNNNNNNNNNNNNNNNNNNNNNNNNNNNNNNNNNNNNNNNNNNNNNNNNNNNNNNNNNNNNNNNNNNNNNNNNNNNNNNNNNNNNNNNNNNNNNNNNNNNNNNNNNNNNNNNNNNNNNNNNNNNNNNNNNNNNNNNNNNNNNNNNNNNNNNNNNNNNNNNNNNNNNNNNNNNNNNNNNNNNNNNNNNNNNNNNNNNNNNNNNNNNNNNNNNNNNNNNNNNNNNNNNNNNNNNNNNNNNNNNNNNNNNNNNNNNNNNNNNNNNNNNNNNNNNNNNNNNNNNNNNNNNNNNNNNNNNNNNNNNNNNNNNNNNNNNNNNNNNNNNNNNNNNNNNNNNNNNNNNNNNNNNNNNNNNNNNNNNNNNNNNNNNNNNNNNNNNNNNNNNNNNNNNNNNNNNNNNNNNNNNNNNNNNNNNNNNNNNNNNNNNNNNNNNNNNNNNNNNNNNNNNNNNNNNNNNNNNNNNNNNNNNNNUUCGGAGUAGCUUGCAUGUGCGACACGUCACUUCGAACUAGCUAGCAUGUGAGACACUUCACUCCUCUAUUUAAGUGUCUUACUAUCAACAUCCAAGACACUUCACUCAUAUUCAUCUGCAGUAAGAAAAUAGUUUUCAUCUGCACAAUGUCAUCUUCAUCAUUAUACAGUGUCAACGUUCACUGCAACGGUGAAACAUACGAGUCUGAGCUAUAUGGUUUUUGUUUUCGAAACACCGAUAUCAUUAGACUCACGAUCAAGAGAAAUGCAACCUUCUUGCAUUUGAAAAAAAGAAUACAAUCAUGUAUAGGGUCGAGUAUUGUGUCAAAGAUCACAUAUCAAAAUCCAAUAUUUUUUUAGAAUAGUCAAUGUAAGUAUUUCCCCCUUAAGGUACGAGACGAUGAAGAUGUUGAAUACAUGUUUGUUAGUCAUGAACAUUCAGGCUGCAACUGUAUUGAGUUGUACAUUACUCUUCAACCAUGUAUACCAUCCCAACAGUCUCAACUAACCAGUCAGGAUGAAUCUGGUGGAUUUGAUCCACAAUGGUCAGAUGACGUCAACCCAGAAGCAGAAGCAGAAGUGGACGUCGUUGAUGAAGAAGAAGAGGAGACCGAGAUACAGGUUGAUCACAUGUUGAACAACGAUGAUGAAGAUGAUGAUCAACCACCACCAAUACCUCAUAGUCAUGUCUAUAACCCGCCUCAACAUAUGACAAAUAUGGGUCUGCACGACGAUGAAACAUCCAACCGUGUUUUCUAUAAUCUGUAUCCGAGAUCAGAAGGCGAAUUAAAGGUGGGAGACAUGUUUCGUACCAAAGAAGAAUGUGUUCUGACUAUCAAAAAAUUCCACAUGAACAACUCUGCUGAUUUUACAGUGAAACGCACUGAUUCUAGAAGGUAUAUUAUUGAAAGUCGUAACAUGCUUUGUAAGUUUCGUUUGGUUGUGUCUUACAAGAAGAAAAACGACUCUUGGGAGACCGCUUCAAUAGACCCACCUCACAGUUGCAUUGCAACUAACGUUGAACAAGAUCACUGUAAACUAAGCGCAACAUUGAUAUGUCAAGAAAUUAUGUCGUUGGUUAAUAAAGACCCAUCAGUGAAGGUGAGUAUAAUUAUAUCCCAUAUCAAAACAACAUAUAAUUAUACUCUAUCUUACAAGAAAGCCUGGAUUGCGAGGACAAAGGUUGUUGAACAAGUUUUCAGCAACUGGGAGGAUUCAUACAAGGAAUUGCCACGGUUUUUAUGGGCACUAAAAACAUAUGUCCCAAGAAGUGUGGCAAUUAUGGAGACAUUGCCAGCGAUGAUGCCAGACGGAACUUGUGCUACAGGUAAUAGAAUCUUUCAUCGUCUCUUUUGGGCAUUUGACCCGUGCAUCAAAGGUUUCGCAUUCUGCAAACCUAUUAUUCAAAUUGAUGGCACUUGGUUAUACGGAAAAUACAAUGGUACUUUGCUCAUGGCGGUUGCACAAGACGNNNNNNNNNNNNNNNNNNNNNNNNNNNNNNNNNNNNNNNNNNNNNNNNNNNNNNNNNNNNNNNNNNNNNNNNNNNNNNNNNNNNNNNNNNNNNNNNNNNNNNNNNNNNNNNNNNNNNNNNNNNNNNNNNNNNNNNNNNNNNNNNNNNNNNNNNNNNNNNNNNNNNNNNNNNNNNNNNNNNNNNNNNNNNNNNNNNNNNNNNNNNNNNNNNNNNNNNNNNNNNNNNNNNNNNNNNNNNNNNNNNNNNNNNNNNNNNNNNNNNNNNNNNNNNNNNNNNNNNNNNNNNNNNNNNNNNNNNNNNNNNNNNNNNNNNNNNNNNNNNNNNNNNNNNNNNNNNNNNNNNNNNNNNNNNNNNNNNNNNNNNNNNNNNNNNNNNNNNNNNNNNNNNNNNNNNNNNNNNNNNNNNNNNNNNNNNNNNNNNNNNNNNNNNNNNNNNNNNNNNNNNNNNNNNNNNNNNNNNNNNNNNNNNNNNNNNNNNNNNNNNNNNNNNNNNNNNNNNNNNNNNNNNNNNNNNNNNNNNNNNNNNNNNNNNNNNNNNNNNNNNNNNNNNNNNNNNNNNNNNNNNNNNNNNNNNNNNNNNNNNNNNNNNNNNNNNNNNNNNNNNNNNNNNNNNNNNNNNNNNNNNNNNNNNNNNNNNNNNNNNNNNNNNNNNNNNNNNNNNNNNNNNNNNNNNNNNNNNNNNNNNNNNNNNNNNNNNNNNNNNUGCCAUUGAAAGUGCCUACAACAACCAUGACAACGGAUGGCAUGAUCCUCCUUCUACACAUGUCUACUGUAUCAGACACAUUGCACAAAACUUCAUGCGUGCUAUAAAAGAUAAGAAUCUUCGCAAGAAGGUGGUGAAAGGUGGGUAUGCUCUAACUCGGCCGUCAUUUCAAUAUUAUCGUGAUGAAAUUAGACUGUCUAAUGAAGACGUAUGGAGAUGGCUAAAUAACAUACCAGUAGAGCAGUGGACAAGGGCAUUUGACAGAGGUUGUCGAUGGGGCCACAUGACAACAAACCUUGUGGAAUGCAUGAACGGGGUAUUCAAAGGAAUUCGAAAUCUGCCGAUAACCGCCUUGGUAAGAUCGACCUAUUAUAGGUUGGCUUCUAUGUUUGCAACCAGAUGUGAAAGAUGGAGUGCGGUGUUAAUGUCCAGGCAAGUAUUCAGUGAGUGUUGCAUGAAGGUCAUGAAAGAGGAGAGCAUCAAAGCUAGUACACACGCUAUAACAGUCUUUAAUCGUCAUAGGCAAAAUUUCAGCGUCCAGGAAACAAUUGACCACAACGAGGGGAGACCAAAUUUAGCCUACGCUGUUAGACUAAACAGAAGUUGGUGCGAUUAUGGAAAAUUCCAGGCCUUCCGCAUACCUUGCUCCCAUGUCAUUGCAGCAUGCACUUAUACUCGUCAAGAUGCUUACAACCAUUUAUCUGAUGUGUACAAGGCUGACACCGUCAUGAAUGUAUAUAAUCAAAGCUUCUCGGUACUACCAAUGGGGGAUUACUGGCCUCCAUAUGAAGGUGAUAUUUUUUGGCACAAUGACGAGAUGCGUAGAAAGAAAAAAGGAAGGUCAAACAACACACUUAUCAAAACAGAGAUGAAUUCCAAAGAUAAAAUGAUAAGAUUAUGUAGUAUUUAUCGUCAACCAGGACACAACAAGAACAAGUGUCCCAAUCGAGGAGCAUCAUCUAGGUCUUAAGCUUUUUGUAACAUUGUAUUUCUGUAACCUUCAAUCAUGAUAUAUCAUUAAGUUUUUGUUACAACGAGGUUCACAACAAACAUCAGUACAAAAUAAGCUAUCUGAAAACAGAAAUAUUUCUAACUGAUUACAACAAUCAAAUUGAUGUCGUCUCGACCGAACAUCAAUUUUUGUUACAACGAGGUUCACAACAAACAUCAGUACAAAAUAAGCUAUCUGAAAACAGAAAUAUUUCUAACUGAUUACAACAAUCAAAUUGAUGUCGUCUCGACCGAACAUCAUUUCCCUAACAUCUUUAUUAGUCUUCAUUCGCACCCAACCAAAGAUAUUAUCAAGUCUCUCAAUACUUCUAAUUUUUUCCCCUUCUGGUAUUUUCCCAUCUAACCAACGAACCAACUCCCUCUUCAGUUGAUCGAAGGUAGUGAUGUUCUAGAACAGCAUCAACAUCUGAGAUUUGUCUCUCGCAUAAAUCACCUUUCUGUAUCGGCGACGAACACCAAACAUGAUUGCCAAAUGAUUAUAUGAGAUGUGGAACAACUACUCACACAAUGCAUCUAUUUAUAACACAAAAAUUGCAUUUUAGGAGGAGUCUCCAAUUGAAUUGGCGCCUCCUCUUAAGCCCUACACAGGGGCGCCAAUUGGAUUGGCUAGGGCACCUUCCAUAGCCAAUCCAAUUGGCGUCUCCAUUCAAUUUUUAAGAGGAGUCUCCAAGUCAAUUGGCGACUCCUCCUAAAAGUGGGGUAGUUUGGGAAUUUUUUUGAAACCAAGGGUAUUUUGGAAAUUUCCUUGAAAAAGUGGGUUAUUUUUGUAAAAAUUUCCCGAUUAUUUCUUUAUUUUUAGAUGUAUAAGAAAAUUAGAUGUUUGGAGAAUUCAUUAUCUUUAUUUUUAUUUUUAUCUUUAUCUUUAUUAUAAUAAAACAUUUUUUUUAAAUAAUCACUUUUUUUUCUAUUUAAAUACUUAAUUAAUCUAUUUUUUAAAUUAAUAAUCGAAAUAAUUACAUUUUUUUUUACUUAUGCGUCAGUUGAACUGCCGCAUCUAUUUGAUAUUGAAAGGAGGCACCUCAUUAACGCAUGCAUGGGAAGCAAAUGGGAAGAGGCGAUAAUGUCUUUGGCGCAUGUAUGCCUCAGUGUAUGCAUCAAUGCAUGUGACACAUGCACUUUCCUUUUUUAUAUAUAUUUUAUAUUUAUAAUUAAUUAAAUUAAAUACUUAAAUUAAAAAAUAUAUUUUAUUAUAAAGUAAAAAUACAUAAAAUUGACAAGAAAAUCAAUUACCCACCCGAUUGAAACGCCCCAUGUUCCAUAUUCAGGUGCGUUAGCCUGUCUUCGAGGUCUACCACGAUUUUCCUGAGGUAUUUUGGGUCUUUAAGUGUUGACAUGAUGCAAUGGUGGCUGGUAUGAAGGUCUUAUGGAAGGUCCAGCGGUAUUUGAUAGAUUCAUCAUCAUUUGUCCCUAAUAGUUAGGGGGUUGUCGCCAACGACGCUUCUGUAAUUGAGUUUGGUGUCCAUGUUGUCGUAGUUGGAUCGUUGUAGUUGGGUGGAUUGUGGUCGGUAUGGUUUCCCAAAUUGGGACAUUGAAUCGUUUUGGAAACGAAACAAUGAUUCAUGUGGUGUACUAAAGUCAAACAAUGGUUGGGCAUUGUGGCGAUGGGAUGUUUGGGUGUUCACUGGUUGGGGGCUAUAAUGGCAUGACGUUGAAUCAUAUAAAUCAUUUAAGCUAUAGACUAUUGUGGUGGUUGCGUAUGGUUGUUGGUGGUUAGGAUUUGAUUCCUGAUUUUGAGUUUGGGUGUGUGGCAUGAAUUGGUUGCGAGAUUGGGUGUUUGGUGGUUGGGUGUAUAUGGUUGGGUGAUGGUGUGAGGUUGGCCAUUGGAUUUUGAUGGGUUGCCAUUGUUCUUGGGAGGGGAUCUGUUGUUGGGAGCUUGAGGACAAAGCUCAUUGGUGUGGAUCAAUCAAAUACUUUGGCUCAGACACAAACGGUGGCGUUAUGACCAACCUAAACCUUGUCAUAUAGUAUUGAGUUGGUCUAGCACCAUAUAUGACUGGUUCGUUUAAGAUGUGUUUUCGUCGAUUCCUCUAAUGAUGACACAUCUUUUUUGCGAAGUCUCUCCAAUCGAAAUAAUCCCAUUGACCAUCGACUAUUUGUUGAUGCCAAUCUCCCAAACACGUAGGAGAUUCUGAAAUUUGUUGUUGCAUGCCGAACUGUAGUUUUAUACGAUCACUCUGGUGCAUCUCCACAGUAGUGAACUGGAUAAUUGGUGUUUUUGAUGUCCAAACUGCAGUAUCAUCAUGGUUAAUCUGAUGAUAAAGAUAUGACCUCCAGAUAAAGUGUACAAGAAUAUGACAUUAUUAAAGAAUAUAUAAUUGGAUAAUUUUUUUAAAAUCAAAUGUAGAGUUGUGUAGUAGUAUUACAUUGUCUGGUCCAAUGUGGUAUAAAAGAUUGUGAUAGACUACUAGGGCGUGUUUGAGACACCUGUUGUAGUUCAUCCUUUUAACUGACCACCUAGGUUGAAAAAAUUGGAAAUAUAUUAGUUACAAUUAGUUGUAGUAUAAAGUCUAAUAAAUUAGAUGGUACAAUUUUAAACUUACUUUGUUGCAUAAGGUAAUAUGAAUGGUUUCUCGUUGACCGGGGCGAGUGACAGUAUUCUUGACCAACUCCAUGCUUAUAGCAAAUAGGCGCAAGAAUAAAACGUAUAAGUAUUCUUUUUGGCAUUUUUACACAACAAACUAUAUAGAUGGGACAAAACAGCUGAACCUCAACUAUAUGUGCUUAUCUUAUUUAUGUUUCGUAACAACGGCAAAUGCAUAAUAUUUACCGUAUUACCAGUACUUUCAAGAAAUGAAAAAUUACCAAAUAGAAUCAUAAUAUAACACUGAGCUUUAAUUAUCUUUUCAUACUCGGUAGAUUCUUCGUUUAAUGUUAUACUUGCAUAAUAUUGUUUAAGAUAUUUUAAAUUAAUACCUUGACCCCUAGCUUGACCAGAAGUCUCUUCCGUAGUUAUGUCUUCACACAAAGGGGCACCCAACAAUUCAUCGCAUAUAGAUUUAUCUUGGUUAAUUCUACCAUUUACGACUUUACCAUCGAUACGUAGACCAAACAUCAUGUAGACGUCCUCAAGUGUGACGGUACACUCACCGAAAGGAAGGUGAAAUGUGUGGGUCUCGGGUCUCCAUCUCUCUAACAAAACAAGAAUAAAUUUGUAGUCAACCGAGUAUGAGACUAUGUUGAGUAAAUUACCAAAAGUGCAUCCUCUAAUAUAUGGUUCUCUCAAAGGAUCAUGUGGUAUAUAUUCAUGUACAUGACAUUGAAAACUCUUUGGGUCCUAAUAAAACAUAAGUAAGAAAUAAGUAAGAAGAAGUAAUAAACAAUAGAGACAUUUUGUUAUGAAAUAAGAAUAAGAAUAAGUAAUAAACAAUAUAGAUUAAGUAAUAAUAUACAAAUAUCGCAAUAUUAUUGAUUGUUCCUUUAUGUUCAUCACCCAUAAUCAAUAGAGACAUAUUAUUAUAGAGAGAUUGACCAUUGCAGAGAGAGGUUGAGUGUUGCAGUGAGGUUAAGUGUUGUAGAGGUUGGUGUUGUAGGUAUUGAGUGUUACAAAUGUUAAGUGUUGUAGAGGUUGAGUUGUUGCAAUAUUUAUAAUGAGAUAGGUUGACAAGUUGCAGUAUGUGAUGUAUAAGUGUAUGCGCCAUUGGGAAGGGUGCAUGCCUUUUACUUUUGCAUGCAUGCGAGGAUGCGCCAAAGGUAAGGGCACAUGCCUUUUACUUUUGUGUGCAUAUGAGGAUGCCCUAAAGGUAAGGGCACAUGGAUUGCUUUAUGCAUGUGAUCAAGCGCCAUUUGAUAAGGGCGCAUGCCUUGUCUUGUUAUGGCAGAAGCAUAUUUGCAGAGAAUCAUGUAGGUGUAUGCCUUAGCUUAUUAGGGCAGAAGAAUCUUGCAUGCGUUAUUGGUAAGACCGCUUACCUUGUCUUGCCUUUGCAUGGAAUCCUGCAGAUUCUUUACGUGAUCAGUACACUUGCCUUGUCUUCUUCAUGUGUUGCCUUCACCAUCUAUCCUAUUUAAUUUCAUGCUAAUAUGUGAUCAAUACAUUCACCAUCAAACAUUAAACUUACAUUUUAAAAAAAAUGUCUUCAUCACCACAUUACAUGAUCAGUACCCAUACCGAUUGUGAAAUAUUUGAGUGUCACUUAUUCGGUUUUUGUUUUCAUAAUACAGAAGUAACUCGAUUUACAAGAAAUCGACGAUCAAAUUUUUCACAUUUGAAACAAAGAAUAGAAAAGAAAUUGUAGUGUAGUCAGGUGGGACAAAUCAUCUACAAAAAUCGGGUGUUUCUUGCAAACAAUCAAGUAAAGUUUUAUCAGUUGAAGAUUCGAGAUGAUGACGAUGUUCAACAUAUGUUUCUCAGUCAUGAACAAUUUGGGUACAAUGAUAUAGAGUUAUAUAUAUUAACACAACAAAAUCAAGUGUCUCAGUUCGUUGAUUCGUCACAAGUGUUUUGUGAAACUGAUGAAUACGAACAAGUUGAAGUCAAUGUUGUUGACGAGAAAGAAGAAGAAGGUGAGUUAUUGGUUGAUUCAAUAGUGGAUGAUGAAGAAGAAAAAGAGUCAUUACCGGCUAGUCAUGCAUAUUGUCCACCUCAACACAUGACAAGCUUGAAUUUGGGUGCAGAUGAACCUGUAAGACCCCAAUUUUGACCCUAAGAUCCCUCAUGCAAUUUCAUCAUAUGCAUUAGCAUUGGGAUCAUACCUUGGCAUCCUCCUUGCCCCUCUUUCAUUGGGUUUGUUUUGGGAAAGAUCACCAAGCACCACGUGAUUGUAUCAUACUUGUAUAUUAUUAUUUUACUAACCAAAUUACAAAAAUAUGUCUUUGCAUUUGCCUAACUCUUUUCGGAAGGGCAUGAUCACCAUUGAUUCAUCAAGUUCAUAUAUAGGGUUUGAGACCCUCAUGACAAAGAGCACAGCCAUGAAUUGAUCCAAUAAUGGUUACGAGCAUCAUAUAUGAGUUUCAUUGAUUCCUACGUGUUAUAUUGAUCAAGUUUUCUUCAAGAGUUUGAGGGUGAUUUGCCUUGGAACCCCUAGUUUGACUGGGUAUCUUGGGUAACUUCUCCAACAAGCUAUCUCACCAUUUGAUCAAAUUUCUCAAGGUACACUUCAAAAUUCUUCAUCUUCUGCAUAUAUGAUCUACCAUGAGCCAAGAAAGUCAAAAUAAUUGAAGGUUAGCAAGUUGGUUGAUGGUGGUUGCGCAGAUGAAUUCAUCUAAUGAAAACUGGGUCUCCCUAGACCCUAUCUCCUACAAUUUUCACCAUAUGAAAAUUAUUCCAAGAGAAAAGUUACUCUAAAUGACAUUCCAAACAACUUUCAUUUUGAGGCAUAAAUCUAGUUUUUCUUGGAAAAUCAUUUUCUAUGUUGAAACAUUAUAGGUCAUUUUGUCUAAACCCUAAUUUGAAAGUCAAUUUCCCAAGGCCUUAACUUGCUCAAUUUUUAUAAGAUGAAAGAUUUCCAAGUUGAACAAUCAAAUUCAAGGCGUCUACUUCAACUUUGAUGUUUGGAGUGAGAGCAAAUUCAACUUUUAUGAGCAUGUGAUAUGAGGUUACAUUAUAGGUCAUUUUUGACCUAUACCAUUGAGCAAGUGAUUUUUCCAAACUUCAAAAAUGCAUAACUCUAUCAUUCUAAAUCCAAAUGAUAUGAAAUUGGUGACAAUUUUUAAGGUCUUUGAAAUAGAUACAACUUUGAUGAAGACACUUUUCUCAUUUGAAGCUCACAUAAAAAGUUAAGCAAGGUGGAAUAUUAAGAUAUAUGGCUUGACACUUAGAAAAAAUUUCAACAUGUUGAAAUUUCCAAACUUCCACCCUAAAAUUCUCCAUGUUCCAAGCUCCAAAUGAAAAAGAGUUGAACAUGAAAGUUGUUUCACUUGAUCUAGACUUGUAUAUAAGGUAUUUUCCAGAAAAUUUUAUCUUUUCGAUUCUCUCUCAAUUCCACUCAAUUCUACUCAAUUCUCUUGGAUCUUUGGUUGUCUGAAGUCCUACCAAUGUAGGCAAGAAGAUUGAGUUGC